rnacentral:lncRNA from 1 species
GUAUGUACAUUUUCCCACCAUCACCUGGAACACUCGCCACCACUUGCCAAUUGCUUAUGCCAAUCUAAUCUUAAAACAGUUAAUGUGUGCAUGCUGAUGAAAACACCUUGUGCCCGUGAUCUUUUUUUCUUACAGCUGGUGGAGCAGUCCAAGGAGAACGUGAAAGCCAAGAAGGGUGGCGUCCUGUUGCGGCGCUGCGGCAGCUGCAUCAGGUGAAAGGAGACCUGCCAUUCAGCUUCCAUAGCCAUGCUAGCAGGAGGAUGAGAAUGAAUUGUGGUUACCUUUCCUUUCUGGAGCGGGGUGGUAUCAUAAUUUACUAGUAGUACCUAAAACCCAUAAGGAUCCAAUGUCAGUGUUUAUAUGGUCAAGCAAGUGAACUUGUGUUGUCGUUACUAGUGAAUUUGUUUGUCGGUGGUAUCAUAAUUUCUACUAGUAGUACCUAAAACCCGUAAGGAUCCUUUACCAGCUGGUGGAGUACUGUUUAUAGGUAUAUGAGUUUGUCAGAAACUUUGGACAAAUGGAACAAAAGAAAAUUAGCAAUAUGUUGAUGUGUACUCGAUAUGUGUGGUACAUUUCUAAUGGGUUCUUCGCCUUUGCUCUCUUCUGAAGAAGUGGAGAUGACACAUGAGUUCAGUUUAGUCACAUAGGCGCACUUUGCCGCAUUGUUGAAAUUUGAGCCAUUCAAAUAUUUUUUAAAUUCAAUGAAAUUUGAGCUUUUUAAAUCCAAUGAAAUUUGAGCUAUUCAAAUAAGAGGUCACACGGGAUCCCGUGAGACUUGACGGUGGUCACCCUCUGCCGUGGCUCACUGCUUGAGGGUUCGGCUAGCCUUCAGUUGCACUUUCUUGUUGGCCAACGAUGACAUCGAUCAUCAACCUUCAUACUUUUACGGUUGUGCAUCGGAGGCCAGGGGUGAUCCUCUUUUUCUCAGAGAAAAUCCUCCUACACUUACCAUCAUUGGCAAUUGCUUGCAAGAACCUAAUUGCAAGUCUUAAAACAGUUAAUGUGUGUGUGUUGAUGGUAACACCUUGUGGAUAUUUUUACAGCUGGUGAAGAAGAUGGAACAGUGAAAGGAGAAUGUCAACGCCAAUAAGGGUGAUGCCCUGCUGCGGUAGCUGCAUUUGGUGAACGGUGACCCUCCAUUCAACUUCCAUAGCCUUGCUGGCUGGAGGAGGAGGACUUGAAUCUGGUUGUCUUGUGUGUUUGAUGCAACUGCAACGACAAUUGUGGUGUCGAUAGUAGUUACCUUUUCUUUUCAAAGCGGGGGGAUAUAUUAAUUUACUAGUGGUACCUAAAACCCAUAAGGACCCAAACAUCAGUGUUUAUCUGGUCAAGCAAGUGAACUUGUCUUGUUGUUCCUGUUUAUAGGUGAUGAUGGGUUUGUCAAAAACUUCAAACAAAUGGAACGAAAGAAAAUUAGCAAUCUGUUGAUGUGUACUCCGAAAGUCCCUUCCUACUUCGGAGCUCAUUUGAGCUCGGGAUUAACAAUAAAUUCAACCAAAAUUUAAAAACUUCAAUAAGUCUGAAUUUUUUUGGGUAUAAACUUUGACAAAUGUUUUGGUGCUUGCAAAUUUCAUCCCGAAAUAACAUUCGUGGAAGUCAUGGCAAAAAAGAACAACACUCCAAAAUGCUUUUGAAAAUAGCAUUUCCGGAGCGUUGACUUUGUUUUUUACCAUGACUUCCAAGGAUGAUAUUUUGGGAUAAAAUAUGCAAGCACUGAGUACAUUUGUCAAAGUUUGAACCCAAAAAAAUUCAGAAUUUUUUGAAUUUUUUACUUUUUUUUGAUUUUACUAUUCAUUAGAGAGCAUAUGAGCUCGGGACUAGAUACUCUGCGUCCACUGUACCCGGUGUGGUCCAUUUCCGGUGUAUGUUGGAGUCAUUGCCUUUUCUAUCUUCUGAAGAAGUGUAGAUAACACACGAGUUGAGUUUAGUCACAUAGAUGCACUUUGUCACGUAAGUGAAAUUUGAGCGACUCAAAUAGUUAUCAAAUCUAGUGAAAAUUCAGCUAUUCAAAUCAGUGGUCACACGAAAUCCCGUGAGAGUUGAUAGUAGUUAGUUUUUCUUUUCGGAACGACAUGGUAUAUAGUCAUUUACUAGUGGUAUCUAAAACCCAUAAGGACCCAAAUGUCAGUGUUUAUCUGGUCAAGCAAGUGAACUUGUGUUGUUGUUAUUGUUUAUAUAUAGGUGAUGAUGGGUUUGUCAGAAAUAUCAAACAAACUGAAGGAAAUAUGCCCUAGAGGCAAUAAUAAAGUUGUUAUUUAUAUUUCCUUAUAUCAUGCUAAAUGUUUAUUAUUCAUGCUAGAAUUGGAUUAACCGGAAACUUAGUACAUGUGUGAAUACAUAGACAAAACAACGUGUCCCUAGUAUGCCUCUACUUGACUAGCUCGUUAAUCGAAGAUGGUUAUUUUUCCUGACCAGAGACAUGUGUUGUCAUUUGAUGAAUGUGAUCACAUCAUUAGAGAAUGAUGUGAUGGACAAGACUCAUCCGUUAGCUUAGCAUAAUGAUCAAUAGGUUUUAUUGCUAUUGCUUUCUUCAUGACUUAUACAUGUUCCUCUGACUAUGAGUUUAUGCAACUCUCGAAUACCGAAGGAACACCUUGUGUGCUAUCAAACGUCACAACGUAACUGGGUGAUUAUAAAGAUGCUCUACAUGUGUCUCCGAAGGUGUUUGUUGGGUUAGCAUAGACCGAGAUUAGGAUUUGUCACUCCGUGUACCGGAGAGAUAUCUCUGGUCCCUCUCGGUAAUGCUCAUCACUAUAAGCCUUGCAAGCAAUGUGACUAAUGAGUUAGUUGUGGGAUGAAGCAUUACGAAACGAGUAAAGAUACUUGCCGGUAACGAGAUUGAACUAGGUAUGAAGAUACCGAUGAUCGAAUCUCGGGCAAGUAACAUACCGAUGACAAAGGGAACAACGUAUGUUGUUGUGCGGUUUGACCGAUAAAGAUCUUCGUAGAAUAUGUAGGGGCCAAUAUGAGCAUCUAGGUUCCACUAUUGAUUAUUGAUCGGAGAUGUGUCUCGAUCAAGUAUACAUAGUUCUUGAACCUGUAGGGUCCGCACGCUUAACGUUUGAUGAUGAUUUGUAUUAUGAGUUAUGUGAUUUGACUACCGAAGUUUGUUCGGAGUCCCAGAUGAGGUCACAGACAUGACGAGGAGUACCAAAAUGGUAGAGAAAUAAAUAUUGAUAUAUUGGACGAUGUUAUUUGGACACCGGAAGAGUUCCGAGAGGUACGGGUAAAAACAGAGUGCCGGAGGGGUUACCGGAACCCCCGGGGAAGCAAUGGGCCAACAUGGGCCAUAGGGGAGAGAGAGAGAGGACAUCCCACAAGUGGGUGGCGCGCGCCGCCCCAUGGGGAAUCCGAAUACGACUAGGGGAGGGGGCACGGCCCCCCUUUCCCUGUUCAUCUCCCUCUCCCUUCCUUCUUCCCCCCUUCCACCAAUGGGAAUUCUAAGUCCUAGUAGGACUCCUCCCUCUUGGCCCGCCCUACAGGGCCGGCCGGCCUCUCCCUCUCCUCCUUUAUAUACGGGGGCAGGGGGCACCCCAAAGCACAACAGACAAUCUCUUAGCCGUGUGCGGUGCCCCCUUCCAUAGUUUAACACCUCGGCCAUAUCAUCGUAGUGCUUAGGCGAAGCCCUGCGCCGGUAACUUCAUCAUCACCGUCGCCACAUCAUCGUACUGAUGGAACUAUCCCUCGUCCUCAACUGGAUCAAGAGCACGAGGGACGUCAUCGUGCUGAACGUGUGCUGAACACGGAUGUGCCGUAUGUUCGGUACUUGGAUCGGUUGGAUCAUGAAGACAUUCAACUACAUCAACCGCGUUACUAAACGCUUCCACUUUCGGUCGACGAGGGUACAUGGACACACUCUCCGUCUCGUGCUAUGCAUCUCCUAGAUAGAUCUUGCGUGAUCGUAGGAAUUCUUUUGAAUUACUACAUUCCCCAACAGUGGUAUCAGAACCAGGUCUAUGCGUAGAUGAUAUGCACAAGUAGAACACAGAGAGCUGUGGGCGAUAAUAGUCAUACUGCUUACCACCAACGUCUUACUUUGAUUCGGCGGUAUUGUUGGAUGAAGCGGCGUGGACCGACAUUACAUGACCGCAUUCAUGAGACUGGUUCUACCGACGUGCUUUGAACAUAGGUGGCUGGCGGUUGUCUGUUUCUCCAACUUUAGUUGAAUCGAUUUUGACUACGGUCGGUCCUUGUUGAAUGUUAAAAUAGCACACUUGACGAAAAAUCGUUGUGGUUUUGAUGUGUAGGUACAAACGGUUCUUGCUAGAAGCUCGUAGUAGCCACAUGAAACUUGCAAAACAAAGUAGAGGACGUCUAACUUGUUUUUGCACGGCUUGUUGUGAUGUGAUAUGGUCAAGACAUGAUGUGAUAUAGAUUGUUGUAUGAGAUGAUCAUGUUUUGUAACAAAGUUAUCGGCAAUUGGCAGGAGCCAUAUGGUUGUCGCUUUAUUGUAUGAAAUGCAAUCGCCAUGUAAUUGCUUUACUUUAUCACUAAGCGGUAGCAAUAGUCGUAGUAACAAUAAUUGGCGAGACAACAACGAUGCUACGAUGGAGAUCAAGGUGUCAAGCCGGUGACGAUGGAGAUCAUGAUGAUGCUUCGGUGACGGAGAUCAUGAGCACAAGAUGAUGGUGUCCAUAUCAUGUCACAUAUUUUGAUUGCAUGUGAUGUUUAUCUUUUAUGCAUCUUACUUUGCUUAGUACGGCGGUAGCAUUAUAAGAUGAUCCCUUACUAAAUUUCAAUGUAUAAGUGUUCUCCUUGAGUAUGCACCGUUGCUACAGUUCAUCGUGCCGAGACACCACGUGAUGAUCGGGUGUGAUAAGCCCUACGUUCAGAUACAACGGGUGCAAGCCAGUUUUGCACGUGCAGAAUUCUCGGCUUAAACUUGACGACCCUAGCAUAUGCAGAUAUGGCCUCGGAACACUGAGACCGAAAGGUCGAACAUGAAUCAUAUAGUAGAUAUGAUCAACAUAGAUAUGUUCACCAUUGAAAACUACUCCAUCUCACGUGAUGAUCGGACAUGGUUUAGUUGAUAUGGAUCACAUGAUCAUUUAGAUGACUAGAGGGAUGUCUAUCUAAGUGGGAGUUCUUUAGUAAUAUGAUUAAUUGAACUUUAAUUUAUUAUAAACUUAGUCCUGAUAGCAUUCGUAACUUAUGUUGUAGAUCAAUAGCUCGCGUUGUAGCUUCCCUGUGCUUUUUGAUAUGUUCCUAGAGAAAACUAAGUUGAAAGAUGAUAGUAGCAACGAUGCAGACUGGGUCCGUGAUAUGAGGUUUAUCCUCAUUGCUCAUAGAAGAAUUAUGUCCUUGAUGCACCGCUAGGUGACAGACCUAUUGCAGGAGCAGAUGCAGACGUUAUGAACUUUUGGCUAGCUCAAUAUGAUGACUACUUGAUAGUUUAGUACACCAUGCUUUACGGCUUAGAACUGGGACUUCAAAAAUGUUUUGAAAUGCCACGGAGCAUAUGAGAUGUUCCAAGAGCUGAAAUUGGUAUUUCAGACUCAUGCCCGUGUCGAGAGGUAUGAGACCUCUAACAAAUACUUCGCCUAAGCGGAUGGAGGAGAAUAACUCAGCUAGUGAGCAUGUGCUCAGAAUGUCUGGGUACUACAAUCGCUUGAAUCAAGUGGGAGUUAAUCUUCCAGAUAAGAUAGUGACUGACAGAGUUCUCUAGUCACCAUCACCAAGUUACUAGAACUUCGUGAUGAAUUAUAAUAUGCAAGGGAUGAAAAGAGCGAUUCUCGAGCUCUUCGUGAUGCUAAAAUCAACAAAGGCAAAAAUCAAGAAAAAUCAUCAAGUGUUGAUGAUUAAACAAGAUCACUAGUUUCAAGAAAAGGGCAAAGGGAAGGAAAGAGAACUUCAAGAAGAAUGGCAAGCAAGUUUUCACUCCCGUGAAGAAGCCCAAAGUUGGACCGAAGCCUGAAACUAAGUGCUUCUACUGCAAAGGAAAUGAUCACUGGAAGCGGAGUUACCCCAAAUAUUUGGUGGAUAAGAAGGAUGGCAAAGUGAACAAAGGUAUAUUUGAUAUACAUGUUAUUGAUGUGUACCUUACUAGUGAUCGUAGUAACCCCUGGUCAUUUGAUACUUGUUCAGUUGCUAAGAUUAGUAACUCGAAACAGGAGUUGCAGAAUAAAUAGAGACUAGUUGAGGGUGAAGUGACGAUGUAUGUUGGAAGUGUUUCCAAGAUUGAUAUGAUCAUCAUCGUACACCACAUAUACUUUUGGAAUUAGAGUUGAACCUAAAUAAAUGUUAUUUGGUGUUUGCGUUAAAGCAUGAAUAUGAUUAGAUCAUGUUUAUUGCAAUAUGAUUAUUCAUUUAAGACAGAGAAUAAUUGUUAUACUAUUUACAUGAAUAAAACCUUCUAUGGUCAUACACCCAAUGUUGAUGGUUUAUUGAAUCUCGGUCGUAGUGAUACAGAUAUUCAUAAUAUUGAUGCCAAAAGAUGCAAAGUUGAUAAUGAAAGAGCAACAUACUUGUGGCACUGCCGUUUAGGUCAUAUUGGUGUAAAGCGCAUGAAGAUACUCCAUGCUGAUGGGCUUUUGGAAUCACUUGAUUAUGAAUCAUUUGAUACUUGCGAACCAUGCCUUAUGGGCAAGAUGACUAAAACUCCAUUCUACGGAACAAUGGAACAAGAUAAUGACUUAUUGGAAAUAAUACAUACCGAUGCAUGUGGUCCGAUGAGUGUUGAGGCUCAUGGCAGGUAUCAUUAUUUUCUGACAUUCACAGAUGGUUUGAGCAGAUAUGGGUAUAUCUACUUAAUGGAAAAAAAGUUUGAAACAUUUGAAAAGUUCAAAGAAUUUCAGAGUGAAGUGGAGAACCAUUGUAACAAGAAAAUAAAGUUUCUAUGAUCUGGUCGUGGAGGUGAAUAUUUGAGUUACGAGUUUGACCUUCAGUUAAAACAAUGUGGAAUAGUUUCACAGCUCACGCCACUUAGAACACCACAGCGUAAUGGUGUGUCCGAACAUCGUAAUCGCACUUUAUUAGAUAUGGUGUGAUCUAUGAUGCCUCUUACCGAUUUGCCACUAUCGUUUUGGGAUUAUGCAUUAGAGACAGCUGCAUUCACGUUAAACAGGGCACCGUGAAAAUCCGUUGAGACGACACCAUAUGAAAUGUGGUUUGGCAACAAACCUAAGCUGUCGUUUCUUAAAGUUUGGGGCUGCGAUGCUUAUGUGAAAAAGCUUCAACCUGAUAAGCUCGAACCCAAAUUAGAGAAAUGCGUCUCCAUAGGAUACCCAAAAGAAAAUGUUGGGUACACCUUCUAUCACAGAUCCGAAAGCAAGAUAUUCGUUACUAAGAAUGGAUCCUUUCUAGAGAAGGAGUUUCUCUCGAAAGAAGUGAGUGGGAGAAAAGUAGAACUUGAUAAGGUAAUUAUACCUUCUCCCGAAUUGGAAAGUACUCCAUCACAGAAAUCAGUUCCAGUGAUUCUUACACCAAUUAGUGAGGAAGCUAAUGAUGAUGAUCAUGAAACUUCAGAUCAAGUUGCUACAGAACCUCGUAGGUGAACCAGAGUAUGGUCCGCACCAGAGUGGUAUGGUAAUCCUAUUCUGGAAGUCAUGUUACUAGACCAUGAUGAACCUAUGAACUAUGAGGAAGCGAUGAUGAGCCCAGAUUCCGCGAAAUGGCUUGAGGCCAUGAAAUCUGAGAUGGGAUCCAUGUAUGAGAACAAAGUGUGGACUUUGGUGGACUUGCCCGAUGAUCGGCAAGCCAUAGAAAAUAAAUGGAUCUUCAAGAGGAAGACGGACACUGAUAGUAGUGUUACUAUCCAUUGUUGAGGAAAUUGGUAAGUGGUAGCUACUCGGUUGGCUUGCGAGUAGGGGAUUAAUAGGAUAAUCGGCCAUUUAAUCAAUUAAUCGGACGAUUUAUUGGUUUAUUGGCUACUCGGUGACCCUACGAGUUGGGGUUAAUCGGCAUGUUAACUGGUUAAUCGGACGAAUUCUUGAACAGGGUUACUAUCUACAAAGCUCGACUUGUCGCAAAAGGUUUUCGACAAGUUCAAGGUGUUGACUACAAUGAGAUUUUCUCAACUGUAGCGAUGCUUAAAUCCGUCCGAAUCAUGUUAGCAAUUGCCAUAUAUUAUGAAAUCUAGCAAAUGGAUGUCAAAACUGCAUUCCUUAAAUGGAUAUUUCUUCAAGAAGUGUUGUAUAUGAUGCAACCUGAAGGUUUUGUCGAACCUAAAGGUACUAAAAAGGUGUGCAAACUCUAGCAAUCCAUCUAUGGACUAUUGCAAGCAUCUCGGAGUUGGAAUAUACUCUUUGAUGAGUUGAUCAAAGCAUAUAGUUUUAUACAGACUUGCGGUGAAGCCUGUAUUUACAAGAAAGUGAGUGGGAGCACUACACCCUUUCUGAUAAGUAUAUGUGAAUGACAUAUUGUUGAUCGGAAAUGAUGUUGAAUUUUCUGGAAAGUAUAAAGGAGAGUUUGAAAGGAGAUUUUCAAAGAAAGACCUCGGUGAAGCUUCUUACAUAUUGGGUAUCAAGAUCUAUAGAGAUAGAUCAAGACGCUUGAUAAGAUUUUUCAAUGAGUACAUACCUUGACAAGAUUUUAAAAGAGUUCAAAAUAGAUCAGUCAAAGAAGGAGUCCUCGCCGAUAUUACAAGGUGUAAAGUUGAGUAAUACACAAAGCCCGACCACGGCAGAAGAUAAAAAGAGAAUGAAAGUCAUUCCCUAUGCCUCAGUCAUAGGUUCUAUAAAGUAUGCCAUGUUAUGUACCAUACCAGUUGUGUGCCUUGCUAUGAGUUUGGCAAGGGGGGUACCAUAGUGAUCCAGGAGUGGAUCACUGUAUAGCGAUCAAAGUUAUCCUUAGUUACGUAAGAGGACUAAGGAAGUAUUUCUCGGUUAUGGAGGUGAUAAAGAGUUCAUCAUAAAGAGUUACAUUGAUGUAAGCUUUACACCAAUCCAGAUGACUCUGAGUCUCAAUCUGGAUACAUAUUGAAAGUGGGAGCAAUUAGCUAGAGUAGCUCCAUGCAGAGCAUUGUAAACAUAGAAUAUUUGCAAAAUACAUAUGUCUCUAAAUUUAGCAGACCCGUUGACUAAACUUCUCUCACAAGCAAAACAUCAUCACACCUUAGUACUCUUUGGGUGUUAAUCACAUAGCGAUGUGAAAUAGAUUAUUGACUCUAGUAAACCCAUUGCUUGUUGGUCACAUGGCGAUGUGAACUAUGGGUGUUAAUCACAUAUAGAUGUGCACUAUUAGUGUUAAAUCACAUGGCGAUGUGAACUAGAUUAUUGCCUCUAGUGCAAGUGGGAGACUGAAGGAAAUAUGCCCUAGAGGCAAUAAUAAAGUUGUUAUUUAUAUUUCCAUAUAUCAUGGUAAAUGUUUAUUAUUCAUGCUAGAAUUGUAUUAACCGGAAACUUAGUACAUGUGUGAAUACAUAGACAAAACAAAGUGUCCCUAGUAUGCCACUACUUGACUAGCUCGUUAAUCAAAGAUGGUUAUGUUUCCUGACCAUAGACAUGUGUUGUCAUUUGAUGAACGGGAUCACAUCAUUAGAGAAUGAUGUGAUGGACAAGACCCGUCCGUUAGCUUAGCAUAAUGAUCAAUAAGUUCUGUUGCUAAUGCUUUCCUCAUGAUUUAUACAUGUUCCUCUGACUAUGAUAUUAUGCAACUCCCGAAUACCGGAGGAACACCUUGUGUGCUAUCAAACGUCACAACGUAACUGAGUGAUUAUAAAGAUGCUCUAUAGGUGUCUCCGAAGGUGUUUGUUGGGUUGACAUAGAUCGAGAUUAGGAUUUGUCACUCCGCGUAUCAGAGAGGUAUCUCUGGGCCCUCUCGAUAAUGCUCAUCACUAUUAGCCUUGCAAGCAAUGUGACUAAUGAGUUAGUUGCGCGAUGAAGCAUUGCGAAACGAGUAAAGAGACUUGUCGGUAAUGAGAUUGAACUAGGUAUGAAGAUACCGACGAUCGAAUCUCGGGAAAGUAACAUACCGAUGACAAACGGAACAACGUGUAUUGUUGUGCGGUUUGAUCGAUAAAGAUCUUCAUAGAAUAUGUAGGAGCCAAUAUGAGCAUCCAGGUUCCACUAUUGGUUAUUGAUCGGAGAUGUGUCUCGAUCAUGUCGACAUAGUUCUCGAACACGUAGGGUCCGCACGCUUAACAUUCGAUGAUGAUUAGUAUUAUGAGUUAUGUGAUUUGAUGACCGAAGUUUGUUUGGAGUCCCGGAUGAGAUCACGGACAUGACGAGGAGUCUCGAAAUGGUCGAGACAUAAAUAAUGAUAUAUUGGACGAUGUUAUUCGGACACCGAAAGAGUUUCGACAGGUACCGGGUAAAAACGGAGUGCCGGAGGGGUUACCAGAACCCCCCGGGGAAGCAAUGGGCCAACAUGCGCCAUAGUGCAGAGAGGGGACAACCCACAAGGGGGUGGUGUGCCCCCCCCAUGGGGAGUCCGAAUAGGACUAGGGGAGGGGGCGCGACCCCCCUUUCCCUAUCCCUCUCCCUUCCUUCUUCCCCCUUCCACCAAGGGGAAUCCUACUAGGGCUUGGAGUCCUAGUAGGACUCCUCCCUAUUGGCUCGCCCUACAGGGCCGGCCGGCCUCCCCCUAUCCUCCUUUAUAUACGGGGGAAGGGGGCACCCCAAAGCACAACAGACAAUCUCUUAGCUAUGUGCGGUGCCCCCUCCCCAGUUUAACACCUCGAUCAUAACAUCAUAGUGCUUAGGCCAAGCCCUGCGCCGGUAACUUCAUCAUCACCGUCGCCACGCCGUCGUGCUAACGAAACUCUCCCUCGUCCUCAAUUGGAUCGAGAGCACGAGGGACGUUAUCAUGCUGAACGUGUGUUGAACACGGAGGUGCUGUACAUUCGGUACUUGGAUCGGUUGGAUCGUGAAGACGUUCGACUACAUCAACUGCGUUACUAAACGCUUCCGCUUUCGGUCUAUGAGGGUACGUGGACACACUCUCCAUAUGUUGCUAUGCAUCUCCUAGAUAGAUCUUGCGUGAUCGUAGGAAUUUUUUUGAAUUACUACAUUCCCCUACACAAACAAAACAAAGUUUGCAAUAUGUUGAUCUGCACUCGCGCUAUAAUACGAUGCGAUGCAAUGUGUGUGGUCUAUUUCGGAGAUGAGUGUGAGAGUUUUUGUUUUUCCUCUCUUCUCAAGAAGUGGAUAUGACACAUGAGUUGAAUUUAGUCAUGUAGGCGCAAUUUGUCGGUGAAAUUGCGGCUAUUCAAAUAGUUUUUAAAUCCAGUGAAAUUUGAGCUAUUCAAGUCACUGGUCACACGGGAUUCCAUGAGACUUGACGAUGGUCAUCCAUUGCAAUGCUUGGGUAGUCAAUCCCUUUCCUCUCCAUCGCGGCUCACUGCUUGAGGGUCCGACUGACCUUUAGUUGUGCUCCCCGGUUGGCCAACCAUGACGGCGAUCAUCAACCCUCAUACUCUUAUGGUUGUGUGCAUCAGAGGCCAAGAGUGAUCCUCCUUUUCUAAGAAAAAAAAUCCUCCUGCACUCACCAUCACUUGACAAUUGCUUGCAACAACCCAAUUGCUUGUGUUGUUGUUAAAGUUUAUAGGUGAUGAUGGGUUUGUCAGACACUUCAAUUAAAUGGAAAAACAAAAUUAGCAAUAUGUUGAUGUGUACUCGCGCUUUAAUAUGAUGGGAUGCUAUGCGUGUGUUUCAUUUUGGAAGUGUUUGUGGGAGUCUUCGCCUUUGCUCUCUUCUGAAGAAGUCUAGAUGACACACGAAUUGAGUUUAGUCACAUACUCGCACUUUCUCGCGUUUGUGAAAUUUGAGUUAGUCAAAUAGUUUUUAAAUCCAGCGAAGUUUGAGCUAUUCAAAUAAGUGGUCACACGGGGCCCCGUGAGACUGACGGUAGUCACCCAUCACAAUGCUUGGGCAAUCGAUUCGCUUUCUCCUCUACCGCGGCUCACUGGUUGUGGGUUCGGCUGGCCUUCAGGCGCUCCCUGGUUGGCUAAACAUGACAGCGAUCAUCAACCCGCAUACUCAUAUGACUAUGUGCAUUGGAGGACAGGGGUGAUCAUCCAUUUCUAAGAAAAAAAAACCUCCUACACUUACCAUCAUUUGGAAAUUGCUUGCAACAACCUAUUUGAAAAAUCUACAAACAAUAAAUGUGUGUGUGCUGAUGGUAACAUCUUGUGGCCUUGAUAUAUUUUUACAUCUGGUGGAGAAGAUGAUGGAAUAGUCCAAGGAUAAUGUCAACGCCAAGAAGCGUGGCACCAUGUCAGGGCACUGCAGCAACUGCAUCUAGUGACUGGUGAUCCACCUUUAAACUUCCAUAGUUGUACUGGCAGGAGGACGAGGAGGACUUUCAUUCUGGACAUUUUGUGUGUUUGAUGCGACCGCAACGACAACUGCAGUUUUGAUAGUAGUUACCAUUUCUCUUCUGAGCAGGAUGGUAUAGUAAUUUACUAGUAGUGCGUAAAACCCACAAGGACCCAAAUGUCAAUGUUUAUCUGGUCAAGCAAGUGAACUUGAGUUGUUGUUAUUGUUUACAGGUGAUGAUGGGUUUGUCAGAAACAUCAGACAAACGGAAUAAAAGAAAAUUAGUAAUAUCUUGAUAUGUACUCGCAUUUUAAUAUGAUGCGAUGCUAUGUGUGUGGUCCAUUUCGGAUGUAUGUGUGGGAGUCUUCACCUUUGCUCUCUUCUCAAGAAGUGGAGAUGACACUCGAGUUUAUUUUAGUCACGUAGGUGCACUUUGCCGCAUCAGUGAAAUUUGAGCUAUCAAAUAGUUUUUAAAUCAUGUGAAAUUUGAGGUAUUCAAAUCAGUGGUUAAAUAGGAUCCCAUGAGACUAGACGAUGGUCACCCAUUGCAAUGCUUGGGUAGUCGAUCCUCUUUCCUCUCCGUCGCGGCUUGCUACUUGAGGGUCCGGCUAGCCUUUAGUUGGGCUCCCUCAUGAGCCAACCAUGACUGCAAGCAUCAACCUCGUACUCUUAUGGUUGUGUGUAUAGGAGGCCAGGGUGAUCCUCCUUUUUUUGUUAAAAGCCCUUUUACACCUACCAUCAUUUGCCAGUUACUUGCAAUAACCUAAUUGCCAAGUCUUAAAAUCAUUAAUGUGAGUGUGCUGAUGGUAACACCAUGUGGUUGUGAUUUUAUUACAAUGAGGGGACAACACGAUGGAAUAUUCCAUGGUAAAAUUCAAUGCACACAAUUUUCAUGGUAACACCCUGUGGUCGUGAUUUUCUAAUCCUCCAAUUUUCUAUUGAUUUUCCUCUCAUGGAAGGUACAUAUAUAUGGUUUACAAGUUUUUUGAUCUCACAUGGAUCUUUCCUACUAACAUCGUCCCAGGAGGCUAUAGGUGAUGGUAUAAAAAGAAGAUUCUCAUCCACAUAGCCCAACACCGAAGGUAAUUAGUCUAUGCACACAGUUACUUCAUCUGCAUGCUUUAUUCACAUGUCUUUGGCAACUAUCUGUGACAUUAAAUUAAUUCCUAGUUUACGUUUGUGUGUCCUAUUUUACAUAGAUUCAAUUGCUAUUUCCUUGAUACAACCCAAAUUUUUUUAUUUGCUCCUGAUUUUGUGACUACACAUGACAACUUUUGUUGUGCACAUAUGGAUUUUGUGUUAUUACCUAUGAGACACAUUUCACUUUUUUCGUGUUAAUUUUUUGCUAUGGAACACAAUGUCAUUCUCUAUAUAUGCAUGCCUACCAACUUAUUCCUGAUUGUUUUGGUCACAGAUAUAUUUCGACAUUUUUGUAGUGUCAUUAGACGGUAUUUUUUUACAUUCUCCCAUAUGUGCAUGCUAUAAAUUUAUCUCAUGACACUCCUUUGCAAAGGGGUGGCGAUUUUUUCUCUCUUGAGGUGUGGAUACACAUUUCUUGAGUGAAAACUUUGUUGUUCAUAAAUGGAUUUACAUAUUUCUUUGGCGUGUGGCAAGUUUGCUUUACUUAACUCUAUAGGGCCAAGCUCCACAGCCAAACUUUUCUUUCACGCCCCAUGAUUUUGCUGAUUUUUCACGCACACCCUCUCGACUUUUGCAUUUUAUUUUUCUUGCAGCUACUCCAUGUUAACAACUUAGACAUUGGACAUCAAUGACUUGAAAUAAAUAUAUCAUGUGAACCUUUCGUUGAUAGUAGUUACCAUUUCUUUUCGGAGCGGGAUGGUAUAGUAAUUUAUUAUUUGUACCUAAAACCCCAAAUGUUGGUAUUUAUCUGGUCAAGCAAGUGAGCUUGAGUUGUUUUUAUUGUAUAUAGGUGAUGAUGGGUUUAUUAGAAACUUCAGACAAACGAAAUAAAUGAAAAUUAGUAAUAUGUUGAUGUGUACUCGUGUUUUAAAUUGAUGCGAUGAUAUGUGUGUGGUCCAUUAUGAAGUGUGUGUGUGUGUGUGGGGGAUAUUCACCUUUGCUCUCUUCUGAAGAGGUGCAGAUGACACUCGAGUUGAGUUUAGUCACAUAGCCGCACUUUGCCGCACUGGUGAAAUUUGAGCUAUCAAAUAGUUUUAAAUCUAGUGAAAUUUGAGGUAUUCAAAUGAGUGGUUAUGCGGGAUCCCGUGAGACUAGACGAUGGUCACCCAUUGCAAUGCUUGGGUAGUCGAUCCCCUUUCCCCUCCAUUGCGGCUCGCUGCUUGAGGGUCCCGCUAGCCUUAAGUGGGGCUCCUUGCUUUCCCAACCAUGACCGCGAUCAUCAACCCUCGUACUCUUAUGGCUGUGUAUCAAAGGCCAGGGUGAUCCUCCUUUUCUCAGAAAAAACCCUUCUACAAUUACCAUCAUUUGCCAAUUACUUGCAACAACCUAAUUGCCAAGUCUUAGAACAGUUAAUGUGAUUGUGCUAAUGGUAACACCCUGUGGUCGUGAGUUUAUUACAGCUGGGGGACAACAUGAUGGAGUAUUCCACGGUAAAAGUCAAUGCACACAAUUUACAAGGUAACACCAUGUGGUCAUGAUUUUCUAAUCCUCCAAUUUUAUAUUGAUUUUCCUCUCAUAGAAGGGACAUAUAUAUGGCUUACAAGUUUUUUGAUCUCACAUGAAUAUUUCCUACUAACAUCGUCGGAGGGGGGCAAUAGGUGAUGGUAAACAAAGAAGGUAUAUUCUCAUCCACAUAGCCCAACGCCAAAGGUAAGUAGUUGAAGCACACAAUUACUUCAUCCGCAUGCUUUAUUCACAUGUCUUUGGUAACUAUUUGUGACACUAAAUUAAUUCCUAGUUCACUUAUGUGUAUCCUAUUUUACAUAGAUUCCAUGGCAAUAUCCUUGGUACACCCCAACAAUUUUUAUUUGCCCCUGAUUUUGUGACUACACAACAUAUAUGUCAACUUUUUUAUCCACAUAUAUAUGGAUUUAGUGUUACCUGUGAGUCAUGUUUAACUUUUUUUGUGCUAAAUUUUUGCUAUGAAACACAAUGUCAUUCUCUACAUAUGCAUGCAUAGCAACUUAUUCCUGAUUUUUUUGGUCACGCAAUAUCUUUCAAAAUAGUGUCCUUAUAUGGUAUUUCUUUUUACAUUCUCCCAUCUAUGCAUAUUGUAAACUUAACUCGUGGCAACCCUUUUCAAAGGGGUCGCACUUUUUUCUCUCUUGAGGUGUGGAUACACAUUUCUUGAAUGACAACUUUGUUGUUCAUAAUGGAUUUACAUAUCUCUUUCGCGUGUGGCAUGUUUGUUUACUUAACACUAUAGGGAAAAGCUCCACAGCCAAACUUUUUUUCACGGCCCAUGAUUUUGCUGAUUUUUCACACACGCCCUCUCCACUUUUGCAUUUCUUUGUCAUUUGCAGCUACUUCAUGGUAACAACUUAGACAUUGGACAUCAAUGGCUUGAAAUAAAUAUAUCCUGUGAACCUUUCCUUCAUAGUAGAUACCAUUUCUUUUCGGAGCGGGAUGGUAUAGUAAUUUUAGUACCUAAAACCCGUAAGGAACCAAAUGUCAGUGUUUAUCUAGUCAAGUAAGUGAAUUUGAGUUGUUGUUAUUGUUUAUAGGUGAUGAUAGGUUUGUCAGAAACUGCAGACAAAUGGAAUAAAAUAAAAUUAGUAAUAUGUUGAUGUGUACUCGCAUUUUAAUAUGAUGUGAUGGUAUGUGUUUGGUCCAUUUCGGAUGUGUGUGGGAGUCUUCACCUUUGCUCUCUUCUGAAGAAGUGGAGAUGGCACUUGAGUUGAGUUUAGUCACGUAGGCGCACUUUGUCGCACCGGUGAAAGUUGAGCUAUCAAAUAGUUUUGAAAUCUAGUGAAAUUUUGAGGUUUUCAAAUCAGUUGUUAUGGGGGAUCCCGUGAGACUAGAUGAUGGUCACCCAUCGCAAUGCUUGGGUAGUCGAUCCCCUGUCCCCUCCAUCGCGGCUCGCUGCUUGAGGGUCCGGUUUUCCUUCAAUUGGGCUCCUUGGUUAGCCAACCAUGACUGUGAUCAUCAAUAGUCGUACUCUUAUGACUAUAUGUAUCGGAGGCCAGGGUGAUCCUCCUUUUCUCAGAGCAAACCCUUCUACACUUACCAUCAUUUGCCAAUUAGUUGCAACAACCUAAUUCCCAUGUCUUAAAACAAUUAAUGUGAGUGUGCAUAUGCUAAAACCAUGUGGUCGUGAUUUUAUUACAGCCUGGGGACAAGAUGAUGGAAUAUUAAAUGGUAAAAGUCAAUGCCAAGAACGAUGGUGCCCUCUCGCGGCAUUGCAGGAGCUGCAUCUGGUUAAGGAUGACCCGCCAUUCAGCUUUUAUAACCGUGCCGGAAGGACGAUCAGCAGGACUAACAUUCUGGUCAUUUUUUGUGUUUGAUGCAACUGCACUAACAGUUCUCGUGUCGAUAGUAGUUACCUUUUCUUUUCGGAGUGGGAUUGUAUACUAAUUUACUAAUAGUACCUAAAACUUGUAAGGAGACGCUGGAGCAGUUCCUUGUCAAGGUCGGCGUGGUCCGAGGAUCUAGCACCGGCGGCCAGGCACCUGUGCCAGUCGGCUUAGUCCAUGGACAGAUGAACCCCGCGCAGCAGGAGCACCAGCUUGGCCGAAUGAUGUACCCGAUGGCACUAGCCAACAUCAUGUUCCAGGUGAUGGGCGACGACAUGGGGUUUGUCCCCAACGGGUACGUAGUGAUUUUCGUGGUGCCGCCAUCACCACCUCGUCAAGGCAGUGUGGGUAUUGUGAGCCACGGGUUGUCGGACGGGAGGAGCGCCAUGACUAAAGCUGACAUGAUGAACUACAUGGGCGACAGAGCGAUGAUGGAGAACGGCGGCGCCCGGAAACACGGUGCCCCGGAUGAUCAGUCCUGCAAGAGGAGUAUCGAGCGUUGCCACCGCCGCAUGAUCAAGAACCGCGAGUCAGCCACACGAUCGUGUGCCAGGAAGCAGGUACUUACCUUGCUGCCAAAAUUGUUGGUUUUUAUGCAAUGCCAUUUCUGCAACGGUGGUAACAAUGUUGGUGACACUUGCAGUCUCUGUCUUUCUCAAUCCUACAGGCUUAUACCGUGGAGCUUGAAGCUGAACUGAACCACCUCAAGGAGGAGAAUGCACGUCUGAAAGCUGAGGAGGUACGGAGCUGCAGACCAGUGAAAACCAUGAGAAAAUUCAGUUUUCAUGUUCUUUUGAGUUCUUACCGUUACUAAACUGUUUCAUUGUUUUGUUGCAGAAGACAAUUCUGCUGACCAAGAAAAAAAAUGGUAUGUACAUUUUCCCACCAUCACCUGGAACACUCGCUACCACUUGCCAAUUGCUUCUACCAAUCUAAUUUGUAAGUCUUAAAGCAGUUAAUGUGUGUGUGCUGAUGAAAACACCUUGUGGCCAUGAUCUUUUUUCUUACAGCUGGUGGAGAAGAUGAUGGAGCAGCCCAAGGAGAACGUGAACGCCAAGAAGGAUGGCGCCUUGUUGCGGCCCUACGGCAGCUGCAUCUGGUGAAAGGUGACCUGCCAUUCAACUUCCAUAGCCGUGCUGGCAAGAGGAUGAGAAUGAAUUGUGGUUACCUUUCCUUUCUGGAGCGGGUGGUAUCAUAAUUUACUAGAAGUACCUAAAACCCGUAAGGAUCCAAUGUCAGUGUUUAUCUGGUCAAGCAAGUGAACUUGUGUUGUUGUUACUAGUAAAUGUGUUUGUCAGUGGUAUCAUAAUUUCUACUAGUAGUACCUAAAACCCGUAAGGAUCCUUUACCAGCUAGUGGAGUACUGUUUAUAUGUAUAUGGGUUUGUCAGAAACUUCGGACAAAUGAAAGCUGAGGUGGUACGGAGCAGCUGACCAGUGAAAAUCAUGAGAAAAUUCAGUUUUCAUAUUCUUUUUCAGUUCUUACCAUUACUAAACGGUUUCAUUGUUUUGUUUGCAGAAGAAAAUUCUGCUGACCAAGAAACAAAUGGUAUGUACUUCUUCCCACCAUCACCUGGAAAUCCUCCAACAGUCGCCACCACUUGCCAAUUGCUUGCAACAAUCUAUUGUAAUUUCUAAUUCCUAAAACAGUUAAUGUGUGCAUGCUGAUGGAAACGCCUUCUGGCGGUGAUCUUUAAUUUUUUACAGCUGGUGGAGAAGAUGAUAGAACAGUCCAAGGAGAACGUGAACGCCAAGAAGGGCGGCACCCUCUCACGGUGCUGCGGCAACUGCAUCUGGUGAACGGUGACCCACCAUCCAGCUUCCAUAACCGUGCUCGCUGGAGGAUGAGGAGGAAUUGUGGUGUUUAUAGCAGUAACAUUUUCUUUCUUGAGUGGGGUCGUUUAGUAAUUUACUAGUACUACCUAAAACCAUAAGGACCUAAAUGUUAGUGUUUAUCUGGUCAAGCAAGUGAACUUGUGUUGUUGUUAUUGUUUAUAGGUAUAUGGGUUUGUCAGAACUUCAGACAAAUGGAACAAAAGAAAAUUAGCAAUAUGUUGAUGUGUACUCGCGCUUUAAUAUGAUGUGAUGCAAUGUAUGUGGUCAAUUUCUGGUGUGUGUGUGGGGGGUGGGGGGUCACCUUUGCUUUCGAGUUAAGAGUUUAGUCACGUAGAUGUACUUUACUACGUCUGUGAAAUUUGAGCCAUUCAAAUAGUUUUUAAAUCUAGUGAAAUUUGAGCUAUUCAAAUAAGUGGCCACACAAGAUCCCGUGAGACUUGACGGGUGGUCACGCAUCGCAAUGCUUGGGUAGUAGAGUCCCUUUCCCCUCUAGGCCUCCACCAUAGCUUGAUGCUUGAGGGUCUAGCUAGCCUUCAGUUGCGCUCCUUGGUUGGCCAACCAUGAUGGCUAUCAUCAACCUUCAUAUUCUUACAGCUCUAUGCAUCGGAGGCUAGGGGUGAUCCUCUUUUUUCUCAGGAAAAAAAAUACUCCUUACCAACAUUCGCCAAUUGCUUGCAAGAAGCUAAUUGCCAAAUCUUAAAGCAGUUAAUGUGUGUGUGCGCGCACGCUGAUGGUAACACCCUGUGGUCGUGAUUUUUUUUAUUAUCGGUGAAGAAGAUGGAAUAGUCAAAGGAGAACGUCAACGCCAGGAAGGAUGACACCCUGUCACGGCCCUAUGGUAGCUUCAUCUGGUGAACGGUGACCCGCCAUUCAACUUCCAUAGCCGUGCUGGCAGGAGGAGGACUUGAAGUCUGGUUGUUUUGUGUGUUUGAUGGAACUGCAACAGCGACAAUUGUGGUGUUUAUACUAGUUACCUGUUCUUUUCAAAGUAGGAUGAUUUAUUAAUUUAGUAGUGGUAACUAAAAUCCAUAAGGACCCAAAUAUAAGUGUUUAUCUGGUCAAGCAAGUAAACUUGUGUUGCUGUUACUAUUUAUAGGUGAUGAUGGGUUUGACAGAAACUUCAUACAAAUGGAACAAAAGAAAAUUAGCAAUAUGUUGAUGUGUACUCCGAAAGUCCCCUUCUACUUCUGCGGUCAGUUGAGUUCAGGAUGAAUAGUAAAUUCAAAAAAAUGAUAAAGAAAACUUCAAUAAAUUUUGAAUUUUUUGGGUGUAAAACUUGACAAAUGUUCUCGGUGCUUGCAAAUUUCAUCCUGAAUAACAUUCGUGGAAGUCAUGAAAAAAACAUAAAACUUGAAAAUGCUUUCGAAAAUCGCAUUUCUAGAGUGUCGAUUUUGUUUUUUUACUAUGACUUCGAAGAAUAUAAUUUCAGGAUAAAAUUUGCAAGCAUUGAGAACAUUUGUCAAAGUUUGCACCUAAAAAUUCAGCUUUUUUUUACUUGUUUUGAUUUUAUUGUUCAUUAUAGAGCAUAUGAGCUUGGGACCAUACUUUGUGUCAUGUGUACUCGCGCUUUAAUAUGAUGCAAUGCUAUGUGUGUACCUGUGUAUGCUGGAGUCUUUGCCUUUUCUAUCUUCUGAAGAAGUCGAGAUGACACAUGAGUUGAGUUUAGUCAUGUAGGCGCACUUUGUCGCGUAAGUGAAAUUUCUUCCAUUCAAAUAGUUAUUAAAUCCAAUGAAAUUUAAGCUAUUCAAAUCAGUGGUCAGACGAAAUCCUGUGAGAGUUGAUAGUAGUUAGCUUUUCUUUUCGGAACAGCAUCAUAUAGUCAUUUCCUAGUGCUACCUAAAACCCAAAAGGACCAAAAUGUCAGUAUUUAUCUGGUCAAGCAAGUGAACUUGUGUUGUUAUUAGUAUUUAUAUAUAGGUGAUGAUACAUUUGUGAGAAACAUUAGAGAAACGGAACAAAAGAAAGUUAGCAAUAUGUUGAUGUGUACUCGCGCUUUAUUAUGAUGCAAUGCUAUGUGUGUGGUCUACUUCACCUUUUCUCUCUUCUCAAGAAGUGGAGACACACGAGUUGAAUUUAGUCACAUGGAUGCACUUCUCGUGUCCGUGAAAGCUAUUCAAAUAGUUUUUAAAUCCAAUGGAAUUUGAGCUAUUCAAAUCACCGGCCAAAUGGGAUUCCAUGAGAUUUGAUAGUGCUCAUUCAUCGCAAUGCUUGGGUAGUUGGUCCCCUUUCCUCUCCAUUGCGGCUCGCUGCUUGAGCGUCCAGCUAGCCUUUAGUUGUGCUCCCUGAUUGGCUAACCAUGACGGUGAUUGAUACGUCCAUUCUGCAUCAUGCUUUUAUAUUGAUAUUUAUUGCAUUAUGGGCAGUUAUUACACAUUAUAGCACAAUACUUAUGCCUUUUCUCUUUUAUUAUACAAGGUUUACAUGAAGAGGGAGAAUGCCGGCAGCAGGAAUUCUGGACUGGAAAAGGAGCAAAUCUGAGAGACCUAUUCUGUACAACUCCAAAAGUCCUGAAACUUCAUAGAGAAUUAUUUUGGAAUUAAUAAAAAAUAUUGGGCGAAGAAAGUACUAGAGGGGCCCCACCAGGAAGGCACAAGGGUGGGGGCGCACCCCCUAUCUUGUGGGCCCCCUAGCAGGCCUCCGGUGCCCAUCUUCUGCUAUAUGAUUUGUUUUGAUCUAGAAAAAAACAAGAGGAAACUUUCGGGACGAAGCGCCGCCGUCUCGAGGCAGAACCCGGGCAGAAGCAAUCUAGGGCUCCGGCGGAGCUGUUAUGCCGGGGAAACUUCCCUCUCGUAGGGGGAAAUCGAAGCCAUCGUCAUCACCAAUGGUCCUCUCACCGAGAGGGGGUCAAUCUCCAUCAAUAUCUUCAUCAGAACCAUCUCCUCUCAAACCCUAGUUCAUCUCUUGUAUCCGGUCUUUUUCUCAAAACCUCAGAUUGGUACCUGUGGGUUGCUAGUAGUGUUGAUUACUCCUUGUAGUUGCCGCUAGUUGGUUUAUUCGGUGGAAGAUCAUAUGUUCAGAUCCUUAAUGAUAAUUAAUACUCCUCUGAUUAUGAACAUGAAUAUGCUUUGUGACUAGUUACGUUUGUUCCUAAGGACAUGGGAGAAGUUUUGUUAUAAGUAAUCAUGUGAAUUUGGUAUUCGUUCGAUAUUUUGAUGAGAUGUAUGUUGUCUCUCCUCUAGUGGUGUUAUGUGAGCGUCGACUACAUGACAUUUCACUAUGAUUUGGGCCUAGGGGAAGGCAUUGGGAAGUAUUAAGUAGAUGAUGGGUUGCUAGAGUGACAGAAGCUUAAACCCUAGUUUAUGCGUUGCUUCGUAAGGGGUUGAUUUCGGUCCACAUGUUUCAUGCUAUGGUUAGAUUUAUAUUAAUUCUUAUUUCAUAGUUGCAGAUGCUUGCGAGAGGGGUUAACCAUAAGUGGGAGGCUUGUCCAAGUAAGGACAGCACACAAGCACCGGUCCACCUACAUAUCAAAUUAUCAAAGUAACGAACGUGAAUCAUAUGAGCAUGAUGAAAACUAACUUGACAGUAAUUCCCAUGCGUCCUCGGGAGCGCUUUGCAUUCUAUAAGAGUUCGUCCAGGCUUGUCGUUUGCUACAAAAAGGAUUGGGCCACCUUGCUGCACCUUAGUUACUUUUGUUACUUGUUACCCGUUACGAAUUAUCUUAUCACAAAACUCUCUCUUACCGAUAAUUUCAAUGCUUGCAGAGAAUACCUUGCUGAAAACCGCUUAUCAUUUCCUUCUGCUCCUAAUUGGGUUCGACACUCUUACUUAUUGAAAGGACUAUGAUAUAUCCCAUAUACUUGUUGGUCAUCAGUGAUCAUCAACCCUCAUACUCUUAUGGCUGUGAGAAUCAGAGGCCAUGAGCGAUCCUUCUUUUCUAAGAAAAAAAACCUCUUGCACUUACCAUCAUUUGCCAAUUGCUUGCAACAAACCAACUGCCAAGUCUUAAAACAAUAAAUGGGUGCGUGUUGAUGGUAACACCCUAUGGUCGUGAUUUUUUUACACCUGGUGUUGAAGAUGAUGUAAGACUCCAAGGAGAAUGUCAACGCCAAGAAGGGUGGUGCCCUGUCGCAGCACAACGACAAUUGCUUCUAGAGAAUGGUGGAACGCCAUUUAGCUUCCAUUGUCGUGUUGGUAGGAGGAUGAGGAGGAAUUUCAUUCUGGUCAUCUUGUGUGUUUGAUGCAACUACAAUGACAAAUGUGGUGUUGAUAGUACCUUCUCUUUUUAUAGUGGGAUGGUAUAGUAAUUUACUAGUAGCACCUAAAACCCAUAACGACCCAAAUGUUAGUGUUUAUCUGGUCAAGCAAGUGAACUUGCAUUUUUAUUACUAUUUAUAGGUGAUGAUGGGUUUGUCAGAAACUUCAGGCAAAUGGAAGAAAAGAAAAUUAGCAAUAUUUUGAUGUGCACCCGCGCUUUAAUAUGGUCUGAUGCUAUGUGUGUGGUCCAAUUCAGAUUUGUGUGUGAAUCUUUGCCUUUGCUUUCUUCUGAAGAACUGGAGAUGACGCACAAGUUAAUAACAUAGGCACACUUUGUUGUUUUGAUGAAAUUUGAGCAUUUAAGUAGUUUUUCAAUCUAGUAAAAUUUGAGCUAUUAAUAUCAAUGGUCACGUGGGAUCCCGUGAGACUUGACGGUGGUCACCCAUUGCAAUGCUUGGGUAGUCGAUCCCCUUUCCCCUCCAUCGCAGCAUGCUGCUUGAGGGUCCAAUGAGCCUUUAGUUGUGCUCCCUAGUAGGCCAACCAUGAGAGUGAUCAUCAACCCUCAUACUCUUAAGGAUGUGUGCAUCGGAGGCCAAGGGUGAUCCUCCUUUUCUAGAAAAAAAGCCUCACACACUUACAAUCAUUUACCAAUUGCUUGCAUCAACCUAAUUGGCAAGUCUUAAAAUAGUUAAUGUGUGCGUGCAGAUGGUAACACCCUGUGGUUGUGGUUUUUUUUACAGCUGGUGGAGAAGAUGAUGAAACAGUCCAAGGGGAGCAUGAACGCCAAGAAGGGUGGAGCCCUGUUCCGGCGCCGCAACAACUGCAUCGUGAAUGAUGACCCACCAUUCAGCUUCCAUAAACAUGCUGGCAGGAGGAUGAGAAAGCCUUGCAUUCUUGCCUUUUUGUGUGUUUGAUGCAACUACAACGACAUUUGUGGUGUCGAUAGUAGAGUUACCUAUUCUUUUUGGAGCGGGGUGGUAUAGUAAUUUACUAUAGUAGCACCGAAGACCCAUAAGGACCCAAAUGUUAACAAGUGAACUUGUGUUGUUGUUGCAGUUUAUAGGUAAUGAUGGGUUUGGUAGAAACUUUAGUCAACGGAAAAAAAUAAACAAUACGUUGAUAUGUACUCAUGCUUUAAUAUGAUGGGAUGUUAUGUGUGUGUCCCAUUUUGGAUGUGUGUGUGGGAGUCUUCACCUUUUCUCUCUUCUAAAGGAGUGGAGAUGACACACGAAUUGAGUUUAGUCACAUAGGCACACUUAGCCGCGUGUGUGAAAUUUGAGGUAUUCAAAUAGUUUUUAAAUACAAUGAAGUUUGAGCUAUCAAAUCCGUGGUCAUGCGGGAUCCCGUGAGACUUGACGGUGAUCACCCAUUGCAAUGCUUGGGUAGUCGAUUCCCUUUCCCCUCUGUCGUGGCUCGUAGCUUGAGGGUCCAACUAGCCUUCAGGUGCUCCCUGGUUGGCCAACCAUGACGACGAUCAUCAACCUGCAUACUCAUAUGGCUAUGUGCAUCGGAGGCCAGGGGUGAUCAUUCUUUUCUAAGAAAAAACCCUCCUACGCUUACCAUCAUUUGCCAAUUGCUUGGAAAAACCUAAUUGCCGAGUCUAAAGCCAGUUAGUGUGUGCGUGUUGUUGGUAACACCCUGUGGUCGUGAUAUUUUUUCAUAGCUGGUGGAGAAGAUGAUGGAAUAGCCUAACGAGAACGUCAAUGCCAAGAAGGGUGGCACCAGGUCACGGCACUACGGCAACUGCAUCUAGUGAACGGCGACCCACCUUUGAGAUUCCAAAGCUGUGCUGGCAGGAGGAUGAGGAGGACUUGCAUUCUGUCCAUUUUGUGUGUUUGAUGCAAGUUGGGCGACAAUUGUGGUGCUGAUAGUAGUUACCAUUUCUUUUCGGAGCGGGAUGGUAUAGUAAUUUAGUGGUAGUACCUAAAACUCGGAAGGACCAAAAUGUCAGUGUUUUUCUGGUCAAGCAAGUGAACUUGAGUUGUUGCUAUUGUUUGUAGGUGAUGAUGGGUUUGUCAGAAACUUUAGACAAUCGAAAGAAAAUAAAAUUAGUAAUAUGUUGAUGUGUACUCGCACUUUAGUAUGAUACGAUGCUACGUUUGUGAUCCAUUUCGAAUGUAUGUGUGGGAGUCUUCACAUUUGCUCUCUUCCAAAGAAGUGGAGAUGACACAUGAUUUGAGUUGAGUCACAUAGGCGCAAUUUGUCGGGUUGACAAAAUUUGAGCUAUCAAAUAGUUUUUGAAUUUUGUAAAAUUUGAGGUAUUCAAAUCAGUGGUUACGUGGGAUCCUUUUACCAUGGUCGCCAAUUGCAAUGCUUGGGUAUUUGAUACCCUUUCCCCUUCAUCGUGGAUCACUGCUUGAGGGUCUAGCUAGCCUUCAGUUCGGUUCCUUGGUUUGCCAACGAUGACUACGAUCAUCAACCCUUAUACUUUUAUGGCUGUGUGCAUCAGAGGUUAGGGGUGAUCCCCCUUUUUUUAGAAAGAAACCCUCCUACACUUACCAUCAUUUCCCAAUCGCUUCAACAACCAAAUUGCCAAGUCUUAAAAAAGUUAAUGUGAGUGUGCAGAUGGUAACACCCUAUGGUCGUGAUAUUUUUACAGCUAGGGGAGAAGAUGGUGGCAUAUUCCAUGGUGAAAGUUAAUGCCAAGAACGGUGGUGCCCUCUCGCCACACUGUGGCAGCUACAUCUGGUGAACGCUAACCGUCCAUUAAGCUUCUAUAGCUGAUCCGGUAGGAGGAUGAGGAGGACUUGCAUUCUGGCCAUUUUGUGUGUUUGAUGCAUAUACAACGACAAUUGUGUUUUUGAUAGUAGUUACCUUUUCUUUUCUGAGCGGAAUGGUAUAAUAAUUUACUAGUAGUGCCUAAAACCCAUAAGAACCCAAACAUUAGUGUUUAUCUGGUGGUCAAGAAAGUGACUUGUGUUGUUGUUACAUUAAUACAUGAUGAUUGGUUUGUCAGAAACUUCAGACAAUAGGAGCAAAUGGAAAUUAGGAAUAUGUUGAUGUGUAUUCAUGCUUUAGUAUGACACGAUGUUAUGUGUGUGGUCCAUUUCGGAGUGUGUGUGGGAGUCUUCGCCUUUGCUCCCUUCUGAAGAAGUGGAAUGACAAACGAGUUAAGUUUAGUCACGUAGUCGCACUUUGCCACGCUGGUGAAAUUUGAGCUAUUCAAAUAGUUUUUAAAUCAAGUGACAUUUGAGUUAUUCCAACCAACGGUCGCGCGAGAUCCUGUUAGAAUUGAUGGUGGUCACCAAUUGCAACUCUUGGUAGUCGAUCCCCUUUUCCUCCGUCGCGACUCGUUUCUUGAGGGUUCGGCUAGCCUUUAGUUGCACAACCUGGUUGGCAAACCAUGACAACCUUCAUCUACCCUGACACUAUUAUGGAUGUGUGCAUCGAAGGCCAGGGGUGAUCCUCCUUUUCUAAGAAAAGACCAUCCUACACUUACCACAAUUUUCCAAUUCAGUCCAACAACCAAUUCCUUCCAACAACCUAAUUGCCAUGUCUGACAAAGUUAAUAUGUGCAUGCUGAAGGAAACACCUUGUGGUCAUGAUUUUUUUUACAACUGGUGGAGAAGGUGAUGGAACAAUCCAAGGAGAACGUCAACAACAAGAAGGGUGGUGCUCUCUCACGGCACUACAAUAGCUACAUCUGGUGAACGGUGACCCGCCAUUCAGCCUCUACAGCCGUGCUAGCAGGAGGAUCAGUAGGACUUGCAUUCUAGCUAUUUUGUGUGUCUGAUGCAGCUGCAACAACAAUUCUGGUGUUGAUAGUGGUUACCUUUUUUGCAGCAAGAUGGUAUAGUAAUUUACCAGUAGUACCUAAAUUCCAUAAGGAAUAAAAUGUCAGUAUUUAUGUGGUCAAGCAAGUGAACUUGUAUUGUUUGUUACUGUUAAUAGAUGAUGAUGGGUUUGUUAGAAACUUCAAAAAAACAGAACAAAAGGAAAUUAGCAAUAUGUUGAUGUGUACUCAAGUUUUAAUAUGACGUGAUGCUAUGUGUGUGUGGUCCAUUUCAGAUAUGUGUGUGGGAGUCUUCGGCUUUCCUCUCUUCUGAAGAAGUGGAGAUGACACUCGAGUUGAGUUUAGUCACGUAGGCACACUUUGCCGCAUCGGUGAAAGUUUAGUCAUUAAAAUAGUUCUUAAAUCUAGUGAAAUUUGAUCUAUUCAAAUUAGUGGUUACGUGGGUAUCCUUGAGACUUGUCGGUGGUCAACCAUCAUAAUGCUUGGGUAGUCGAUCCACUUUCUCCCUCCGUCAUGACUUGCUGAUUGAUGGUCCGACUAGCCUCCAGUUGCGCUCCCUCGUUGGCCAACCAUGAUAGCGGUCAUCAACCCCGAUACUCUUAUGGCUAUGUGCAUUGGAUGCCAGGGGUGAUACUUCUUUUCUAAGAAAAAAACACUCCUACACUUACCAUAAUUUGCCAAUUUCUUGCAACAACAUAAUUGCUAAUUCUUAAAACAGUUAAUGUGAGUGUGCUGAUGGUAACACCUUGUGGUCAUGAUUUUUCUAUAGCUGAGAAGAUGAUGUAAUAGUCCAAGGAGAACGUCAACACAAGAAGGGUGGCGCCCUGUCCCGGCGCUGCGGUAGCCGCAUCUUGUGAAUGUUUGGCGCUUUGGCAGCACCCUAUUUAUCCAGUAUGAGACGCACUUACUAUUCUGUAUCGAUAUAUCUAUAGCUGACCUUUUUCAUCAAUCACGUUAAUUUAAUAGCUAUCUAAUGCUUUAAUUGAUGCUUAUUUCUUGCAUGCGGUAGGCUAUAAAUAGGGGGGUGGCGCACAAGACUGAACCACACACCACAAACAAGAGCGUACAUAGAGACCACAAUGGAGAGAUAUGAUGGCUUCAGAGAUGAGCAAAGAUGUGAAGUUCUUCGAAGAAGAAGUCACCUCACACCCUCGCAUUCUUAAAGGUGAGGAACAAAAUGGUUGCGCCUGCGCGGCAGCCUUAAAUCUUCACGCUGAUGCUGGACGAGCUGCAAUAGUCGAUGUGCAAGGUGGGGCACAAUUUUGGGUCCAUGAACAUGGAUGAGUUCAUGAGCGACAUAUGGAAUGCCGAGGAGUUCCAUGCGGCUCCCAACCGUGGCUUGGUGGGCAGUGAGGAGGCUCGUGGUGGGUGUUGGUCGAAGCGAAAGUGGUGGGGAUGCUGGAGUAAGCGACCUAUGCCGGUUGGGAUCCUUCUCCUUGCCUCCCCGACUGUGCCGAGAGAUAGUGGAGGAGGUGUGGGCUAAGAUCAAUAGGGAGCCCCGACCGGUGCAUGACCAGCCUCUGGCCGCGCCUCUGUCAUCGCAGCUUCUUGUCUAGCCAAUGGUGGCGAAUGGGAGAAAGUCUUUUUGUGCAGUGAUGCUACCUAGCGGCAACAAAUCUGCCAUUCAUUGCUUGCCUCAACAUACGUGCAGACGGGACCACUUUAUUCUCAUUUUAUCCUAUACACUAGUAUACAUCAUCAAAAUACAGCUAGUGGUCCCCAUUGUUUGUCUUUGGCAUGGAUGCAUGGCAGAAAUAUGAUAGUGUGCUCUCUCUCUCUCUCUCUCUCUCUCUCUCUCUCUUCGGUUUAAAUCCAACCUUUUAUUAAAUUUAAUCAUCCAUAUCUUUUAAAGCAUAAGUUCAUAUUUGAUUUAUUUUUAUAUAUUUGAACUCCUUGUGCCAAGGCCUUUUAAACAAGACCGAUCUUGAAUACAUUUCGAAAACAUUUAAAUUUCAACGUUUCAUAUUCCAUAUGUGAACCAAAUCAAUAUCACUAAAUUUUAUAAAAAACUAUUUCAACAGAAAUAUUUAAAACCAUUGUAUUUUACUAGAAACCAAUGACUUUUUGAAAUUGAUUUUUUGAAAUGUGUCACAGUUUAUUUCGAAAGACUGAAAAUGUUUUUUCAAAAAUGUGCAAUUGAAAUAGAUGUGAUUUUUGUAAAACACACCCGUGAAAUAUUACACGUAGGUUUUGAAUUGUGACAUAGUAACCACAAAAUGUGAAAAUGAUUUUUUGAAAGAGUGAAAUAUGUUUUUUUUGAAAAAUGUGUAACUAAAAUAGAUGUGAUUUUUGUGAAACAUAACUGUGAAAUGUAAAAAUGUAGGUUCUGAAUUGUGAAAUACUAACCACAAAAUGUGAAAUUAUAAUGUACAAAUGUGAAACUGAUUAUUUCAAAAGAGUGAAAUAUGUUUUUCCAAAAAUGCGUAACUAAAAUAUAUGUGAUUUUUGUGAAACAUGACAGUGAAAUGUAAAAUGCAGGUUCGGAAUUGCGAAAAUAUGAACCACAAAAUGUGAAUUACAAUGUAUAAAUGUGAAACUGAUUAUUUCAAAAGUGUGAAAUCUGUUUUUUCAAAAAUAUGUAAUUGAAAUAUAUGUGCUCUUCCUGAACCUAGCCAGUGUGAGUGAAAUGUAGGUUGUGAAUUAUGAAAGAGUAACUACAGAGAGUGAAAUUCUAUUGUAUCAUUUCUGAAACUGAUUGUUUGAACAUGUGUAAUAGUUUUUUCAAAAGAGUGAAAUAUCUUGUUUGAGAAAUGUGCAAUUUAAAUAGGUUUUUUAUUUGUGAAGCAAGCCUGUGAAAAGUGAAAUGUAGGUUAUGAAUGGUGCAAUAGCCACUAUAGAAAGUGAAACUGUAAUGUAUCAUUGUGAAAUAGAUUAUUUUGACAUGUGAAAUAUAUGUUUAAAUUUAAAUAUGGUUAAAAAACAUUCAAGAUUGAUCUCAUUUUAAAGGUUUUCGCGCAAGGAGUUCAAAUAUAAAAAAAGUUUCACAAAUGAAUAUAUAUAUGGUUUAAAAUAUAUGGAUGUUUUAAAUUAGCUAAGGAGGAAGAAAUGGUUGGAUUUAUUGUGUGGGAGAAGAAAAAGUGUUUCUGCCACACUGUCAUGCAUGCAUGUGAAGUACACUAGUGGGGGUCAACUAUUGAAGAGAGAUAGUGGAAAUACGAAGAUGGGAAAUUCAGAAAAGAAAUGUAAUACAAAGAUACUUGACCCACAUAGUGUUAGAUGGCAGCUCCCUAUUGGACACCACCUAGACGGUAGGUAGAGCAACCUUGCAAUUUUACAUUUUGUGGAGAAUGGCGGUUCCGUUGCGGCCAACGACUGGGAGGGUGCGCUUGGAGAGAUCAAGUUGUAGCAGUUCCUUGUCAAGGCCAGCAUGGUCCGGAGAUCUGCCAUCGGCUAGGCACCUCUGCCGGUCGGCCUGAUCCAUGGAGAGAUGGACCCCGCGCAGUAACCUGGCCCAAUGAUGUACCCGAUGGUACCGACCAACAACAUGUUCCCGGUGAUGGGCGAUGACAUGGGGUUCGUCCCCAAUGGGUACGCAGGGAUGACCAUGGUGCCACCGCCACCACCUUCUCAUGGUGGGGUGGGUAUCGAGAGCCCCGGGUCAUCAGACGGGAGGAGCACCAUGACAUAGGCUGACAUGAUGAACUGCAUGGGCGACGGACCGAUGAUGAAUGGUUACACCCGAAAAUGCGGCGCCCUGGAGGAUCAGUCCUGCAAGAGGAGGAUCGAGCGUCAUCACCGUCGCAUGAUCAAGAACCGUGAGUCAGCCGCAUGAUCGCGUGCCAAAUAGAUACUUACUUUGCUGCCAAAACUGUUGGUUUUUAUGCAAUGCCAUUUCUGCAAUGGUAGUAACAAGGUGGUGACAUGUACAUACUAUCUUUGUUAAUCCUACAGGAUUAUACUAUGGAUCUUGAAGCUGAACUGAACCACCUUAAGGAGGAGAAAGCAUGUAUGAAAAUUGAGGAGGUACAGAGCUGCUGACCAGUGAAAACCAUGAGACAAUUCAGUUUUCUUAUUCUUCUCAAUUCUUACAGUUACUAAACAGUUUCAUUGUUUUGUUGAAUAAGACAAUUUUGCUGACCAAGCAACAAAUGGUACGUACAUUUUCCCACCAUCGCCUGAAAAUCCUCCUAUACUCGGGAUCACUUGCCAGUUGCUUGUAACAAUCUAAUUGCUAAGUCUUAACAUAGUCAAUGUGUGUGUGCUGAUGGAACCAACUUGUCGUCAUGAUCUUUUUUCUUACAGCUUGUGGAGAAGAUGAUGGAACUAUCCAAGGAGAACGUGAACCCCAAGAAAGGUGGUUUAUGAGGAUAUUCCCCACGACCAAGAUCCGGCUCAUAAGGAUAAGCCGCCCUGAAGCUUAAGUCAUCUCUGGGCUUAAGUUGCCCUGACAUUAGGUCAUCUCUGGGCUUAAGCAGCCAUGUUAAGUCCUCUCUAGACUUGAGCAACCAUGUAAGUCCUCUCUGGAGUUAAGCAGCCAUUGUAACCAUCCAUCUUAACCCGCCAUGAUGAGUCAAGGAGAUGAGUCUCAGAAGAUGAGAUGCCUGAAGAUAAGCCCUGAAGAUAAGUCCUGAAGGUAAGUUGUCCAGCUGUAAGCCGCCCGGCUGGAGAUAAGAAGACCAGGAUUCAGAAGCCCAUGGUGAGAAGCCCGUGAUAGGAAGUCAGAAAUAGGCUAAUUCCUAAUCCUACUAGGACUCUACAUGUAAACCCGCCCCUUCAACUUAUAUAAGGAGGGGUAGGGCACCCCAAGAGGCUCAAGUUCUUUACAGGUUAAGAUUGGGCUUAGACAGACAAAUCUUAGACAAGAUCAAAGUAGAUGCUUUCAAUAGAGGUAGCGAAACACCGCCCUUGUAACCUAGAUCGUCAUCAUAAUCAUCAAUAUCAAUGAAGCAGGAUGUAGGCUUUUACCUCCACCACGAGGGGCCAAAUCUAGGUAAAUUCUCGCGUCUCUUGUCCCGCUCAACCCUGUUCAAGCUACAAAUUAGAUGCGUUGGCCUCACGACUAAGUCCUUGCAGAAGGACAUCUUGUCGGAUUACGGGUUCCGCAAACCCUUGAGAGGUUUGAACUCUGGGGUGCGUGCGAAGAUCUCACUCUCCCCAGUCUACCGACUCGCUAAUCUCACAGCCUAACGCGUCGAGCUUGAAGGAAAUGGGACACAACAGUUUACCUAGGUUCGGGCUAACUUGAGGUGUAAAACCCUACUCCUGCUUUGUGGUGGAUUUUCCUCGAGGGGCUUAGGAAGAACUAGUACAGUGGGGAACAACCCCAGGAGGUGAGUUCUUGGGCUCAAGUGAGGUUGUGAGCUGGUGAGGAUGGAAUGGAUCCGAUCUCUCCCCCCUGUGGUGGUGGCUAGGUCCUAUUUAUAAUGGCCUUGGUCCUCUUCUCGAAUGGAGGCGGGAAGGGAUCCCGCAAUGGACAAAUUUGAAGGGAGACAACAAGUACAUCUUAUCCUGACUAAAGUAGUCUUUGCCUGCAAAAGCCUCUGGUCAUGACACUGUGGUGGGCUCGGCGAUGACCUUCGUCCUGCCGUCCUGGCGGUCUUGGUCUUGUUGCACGGGAAUGGAAUCCUUUGGCUGCUUCCUCGGGACCCCAUGCCUGUUGCUUGCCUCCUUUGCACCGAAGAGGAAAAUGGGACACUACGCGCACUAGCGCCCGCCUGGCCUCGAUCGUCAUGGCUCACGUCACCCGAACCUCACAAUGUGAGCAUUGCAUCGAAAUCUCUGCUCCUCAGGAGCCAGCCUGAGGAGGCUAAUCCCCUUGGAGGUCUUGGUGUCGUCCGCCUCACGAGGCUUGGCCCCUUGCGAGGGUCUCGAGUAGUUGAUGUUGAAAUUGGGCCUUACCAGGUCGUUGAUGGAGCCACGCUGCAGGCCGCAGGCAGGCAAGUCUGGGUACCCCCGUAUCCAGAACACCGACACUAGCCCCCGGGCCCAAGGCGCGCUCGGUCUUGGCUUCUAGGCAAAGCCAAAGGGCAUGUGCGGAGCACCGUAGGCCCUAACCGCCCGCGGCCUUGGAUGACGCGUGGCGAUUGAUGGGACGUGGGUGUCUCCACUUCCCCAUGCUGCCUCGGCAACUGUUCCUAGUUGACAAAAAGGCUGGCACCUGCCGCAAAGCCUCCAUCGCCCUCCUUCCAUCUUGCUCCAGAUCCGCUUUUCUCUCCGCGCCAAAAAAUCCUCCAGAUCUGCCGGUUUCCCCCACCAAUCUUGUGCCCAAUGGCCUCCGGCAAGGCGAAGUCUCCGUCCCCGACCACGCGCUCGGCCCCCUGGUUCGAGCCAGCCCUGGGCGCGUCCACCAACACUGAAGAGAAGCACCUUGCCGCCGCGCUCCAACUUACGGCGAGCAACGAUAGCGAGGGGGGAGAGACGGCGCUCCGGGUUGGCUCUGCCAAACUGGAAUCCUUGGCCGGUACCUUCUACCCCUUCUUCCUGCACAGUGUUUACGCCGGGUUGGCCCACCUUUCUCCCGCUUCUUCUACACCGUCCUUCGCCAUUGCGAGCUUCACGCCCUCCAUCUUCACCCCAACUCCAUCCUCCUCCUGUCCAUCUUUGCCUUCUACUGCGAGGCGUUCGUGGGGGUGAUGCCCUCCGUUGCGCUGCUUCGCCACUUCUUCUACCUCCGGGUGAACGACAGCCAGUGCACAGGAUGGUCCUCCUUCGUUGCAGCCAAAGGCAGCAACACGAUCUCCCGCACCGGGAAGAAGGUGGAGGACUUCUGGAACAAGUGGAUCUUCAUGGACGCCAAGUGCUCGCAUGCCCUAUUGGAGCUGCCAACUGGGCUUCCAACGUCCAGAGAAGGGUGGUCUCACGAGAAUCUCACCGACCCCCUGGCGAAGCCGCUGCUGAAGAAGAUGGCGGCUGACUUGAAGGCGGAGAAGCCAACGGGGGCCAUGAUCGUUAGAGAGUUCCUCAUGCAGCACCUGGUGCCGGUCUAGGAGCAAUCCCGCCCCUUGUGGAAGCUUGGGGGCAUAGAAGACAAGCUCCGGCUGUGCCCGGACAGCCUUUCGACAAGGAGCUGAGCAUGGUCAUGCACUCCUUGCUCGGGAAGGACCAGAGCAGCCCCCCGAACGACCACCUCCCGUUGUACCACCGAGAUGACGGGUAGGGGAUAGUCGCCGCCAUGCCUAUCUUCAAUGAGUGCGGGCUCGUGUCGAUGGAGCCUUCCCUGCCGGCAGUCUCCCUGGUGGACGUGUCCUCUGGCGACCACUCCUCCGAAGCCGCCUAGGAGGCGGAGGGGGAGAACUCUCCCCCGCGGCAGAGCGACCUCCUUCGCGACUUCUCCAACGACGAUGACGCUUUUGCGCACCCGGUCAGGGAGUCGGUGCACUAUGCCAGGGUCACCACAAGUUCCCGGGGGACCCCUCCGAAGAAGCAGAGGUGAGGGGUCCUGAAGAGGGAUAGGUCGGCGUUGAUUCCCCUGAGUUGCGCUCCUGCUUCUCCUCCAUCAUCCAGCGUGGGGCCAGACAUGCACUCGUCCGCUCCUAAGAACGCAACACCGCCCGUGCCCGGGAAGUUCGCGCUUCAGGGUCUAUAGAGGAACUACGUCACCAUGAAUAAGUAAGUGCACCUCAUCACCUUUGUUCUUGGGUUUCGAGGUAGUGCUCACCAUCUUCAUCUAAUGUCAGGCCGCCGCCGGUGUUGAAGACGAAGAUGGGGGACGCUGGAUCCGCCAAGGCCAAGCGUGCCGCCAUGGUUGCUGCAGCUCCGGCUUAGAGGGGCAUAGCAGCUCCCGUCGCUCCUGCAGCCUCAGGAGGAGUCGGCUCCUGCGGUAGAGCUGACCCCGAAGGCGCCUGUCCCAGACUCGCUUGCCGGGGACCCAAGAUCUUCGGAGCCCCCGGUCCCGUCUGUAGCUGCUGCUCCGCCGGUCUUGGUGCCGACAAUGCCUCCUCUUCCAUCCAGCACGCCGUCGGGCCGUGGUGCUUCCACCGCGUCUGAAGCCCUAGAGGAGGCCUGCUCCAUGCUGGACCAGCUCCGGGAUGAUCUUCACGGUCCGGACCGGCGCAGGGUGUCGGGGCGUCAAGAGCUGGUCUCGAGAUAGCUUCAGACCGAUACGUCUAUCAGGACGGCCAGGGGCCUAGCCGUGGCGUCCACGGAGGAGGGCCAGAGGGUGGUUGGGUUAGCCGCAGCCGCCCAUGACGUGGCGCUAAAGGAAGCCAAGGAUGCACAGGAGCGCUGCCACGCGAUGGAGGCCGAGCUGAAGACCGUCCAGGAUCAGCAGGCCACCCAGGCCAAUCAGCUCAAGGUGCAGGAGGAGGAGCUAGAGGUCUAGGAGGCUGCGGGUGCUGAUCGUGAUGUUGAGCUAGCGCAGGCAGCCCAGGAACAGGCCACAGAGCGCACCACCUGGAGAAGUGGAAGGCGGAGGUGGAGGCGGCCUAGGCGUCCCAUGCCAAGGCCAAGGAGGUGGCCACCGUGGAGCACGUCGCCUUCAUCUCUCUUGAGGAGAGGUCCCACAAGGCGCUGCAGGAUCUCUUCGAGAGCGAGCGCUAGGAGACAGCGGUGACCCCGGAGCAGGGUCCGGCCGUACUGCUCCCCAAGCUCGUUGCUGCACUCGAGACCUUCAUCAUUUGGUUCGGCCCCAUGAUGGAGGGGAGGCCCGUAUGCACUCGUCCUCGGCCAUGACACGCGUCUUCAGCCAUCUCUAUCUUCGGGACACCAACUUCGACUUUGGCGCCUUGCUCGAGCCCAUGGACCCUGAGUCAUGUGCCACCACUGCGGAAGCCGUGAAGGGUCAUGUGGAGGCCCUGCUGAAGAAGUUCCUUGCGGGGCUCCCAAGGCGGGCGAUGGUGAUGUCCAAGGAUGACAGCAAGGAUGACAGCGACAUCAUUGACGACGGGGCUCCCAAGGCGGGCGAUGGUGAUGUCCAAGGCUGAAGAAGAGGCUUGAUGGCAGCUCCUCUCCCUGUUUUCAACCUGCAACAUGUAUCGUGCCUCGCGGAGGUGUAAGAACUCGGGCUUGGUACUUUUUUAAGAGACAAUGUGUUUUGUAAUAGUUUGCUAAAGUUUCGCAAUCUCUUUCCCGUUUGCUUUAGCGUUCUGCGUCGGCAGGGCCUGACCCCACACAUACCUCAUCCAUCAUUGGGUCAUACAGAUUGCCAGGACGAGGCAAAGGGGUGAGGGGCUACCUGGUUAGUUAGGAUCCUGAGACGCGAUGCUCAGGAGUCCCCCUUGAUGUACGAACAGCUUUUGGAGAGGAGAUGCGAGGGUAGGUCUUAGUGUUCUGCGUCGGCAGGGCCCGGCCCCGCGCAUACCUCAGCUUCCAUUGGGUCGUACGGAUUGCCAGGACGAGGCCAAGGGUUGAGGGGCUACAUGGCCAGUUAGGCUCCUGAGAUGCGAUGCUUAGGAGUCCCCCUUGAUGUACGAACAACUUUUGGAGAGGAGAUGCGAGAGUAGGUCUUAGUGUUCUGCAUCGGCCCGGCCCGGCCUGCGCAUACCUCAGUCGCCAUUGGGUUGUCCUGAUUGCCCUGUCCUUGAACCUUGGGACGCUCCGGAGGUCCGGGGGCUCGAGAAAAUCCAUCGCCAUCUCCGUCUAGAUCGCCUGGCGCCGGGCCUCCUGAGCCAUGAGGACGCCCCACAUGCGGCGCUGGGAUGCAACAGUUGUGUUCAGCAGACCAAAGGGCAUGCAGACAUAGCUGUGAGGGGCCCCUCGCAUCGUCCUACAUGCGACGGCCAGAAAAGCUCCUGACACACGGCCCUGUUGAGCCCCGGGAUGUCAACGUAGACGUGCAACUCCUCGUCCUCACCUGGGCCAGGAGCCGCACACGGUGGUGGGCGGUGAUCACCCCGCAUGACCCUUGCCUCCUGAAUCUCCUUGACUGUCUUGUCGACGAACUCAUGAGUGCCAGGCGCCUCGCACCCAACGCCCUCUCCGUGGAUGCGUGCCUGAAACAUGCCUCCACAUGGUGCCCGAGCACCUCCGUCGUGACACUGGCCAGGUCAGAGGCCCUCUAGAGGAGAGCCCCCGAGGCUAGCUUGAGAGGGGCACCGGGCAUGCCUUCCUAUGCGAGACGGGAAGGCGCCCCGUCCAUAGACGCCAGGCUUGAGGCGGCACCGGGGACGCCCCAUCCUCCUGAGAUCCUUGGUGGAGUUGUUGCUUCUUCUUCUUGGGAACGAAUUCAGGAGGGUGGACGGCACCCUCGUUGUCAGGGUUCUCGACCGCUGCAGCCUAGUAGGCGUGCUCGAGAGAGCACACAACGUCCUUUUCUUCAUAAGCGACCAUGAUGAUGCCGCAGUUUCCUGGCAUCUUGAGGACAUUGUAGCCAUGCUGUGUUGCCGCCAUUAGCUUGGCAAGAGCUGGGUACCCAAGGAUGGCAUUGUAUGGCAGGCGAAUGUCGGCGACGUCGAAGUCGAUGAGCUUGGUGCGGUAGCUGUCGCGCUUGCCGAAGGUGAUGGGGAGGCGGACAUGACCGAUCAGAUGUGUGGAGCCGUUGGUCACUCCUGAGAAGUGCUUGGUAGGUUGAAGCUGGUGAUACGACACUUGGAGCCUGUUGAACAUCUGGAUAGAGAGAACAUUGAGCCCUGCGCCGCCGUUGAUGAGCGUCUUGGUGACGAGCACGUUGCUGAUGAUGGGCGAGCAGAGCACCGGGAGCGCGCCAGCCAUGGCCGCGCACUUGAGUUGGUUAGAGGAGUCAAAGGUGAUGGCGUACUUGGACCAUCUGAGCGGGCACAUCGCCUCGAGCUUUCGAAGGGAUGCGUUCACCUCACGCGCGAACUGCUUGAAGAUGCAAUGAGAGGCUGGGGCCUGGGAGCCGCCCAGGAUGCAAGCAAUGGUACGAGGCUCUUGGAAGCCCCCAGCCCCCUUGCCCAGAUGGUGGUCUUCGUUCCUUCUUGGCGGUGGUGGCAGCGGAGGAAGACCAACGUUACCCUGGGGCCAAUCCUCGCGAGGCUGAUCCCUCCAGGCGUCCUCGUGAGGCUGGCCCUACCAGUAGUCCUCCCGAGGCUGGUCGCAACACUCCUGACGAUGGCCGCGGCCUUCCCAGCAUCCUCCACCUCGGCAUCCUUCGCGUUCGUAGCCUCGAUCAUCACGCUCGGGGCAACGACCAAGGCGCCCGUCGCAGAUGGCCCUGAGCUCCUGACAGUCGUUGGUGUUGUGGCUAUGCAUGUUGUGGAAGAAGCAGAACGGGCGGCUGCCCUUGGAUGACUCCGGGUGAUUGCAGCCGCGCUUCAUCUCUGGCUUAGCUGUGAGCACGGCCAGUCCCUUGCGCUUCACGUCCUUGGCCUUGGCCUUCUUGUCUUCUGGGUCUGCAUCGGGGAGCUCGAGAAGGGAGAGGUGUCGCUCCUUAGCUCUCACGCACUUGGUUGUCAUGUUGAACAUCUCCAGGUCCGUGCAUAGGUCUUCGUGUAUGACGAGCUGCUCCUUCAUCCUGACAUUGCGGACGCCGUCGGUGAACGCCGAGAUGAUGGCUUCCUCCGACACCUUGGGAAUCCUGAGGCGAACGUUGUUGAAUUGUUGGCUGUACUUCUGCAGGGUCUCUCCCGGUUGCUGCUUGACGCGUCGCAGGUCACCUGCAGAUGGCGGGCAGUCGUGAGUGCCCUCGAAGUUGGCAAUGAAGUGUUCCCGCAUCUCGUCCUAGGAGGAGAUCGAUCCUACGGGCAGGUUCAGGAGCCAGGAGCAUGCACUGUCCUUGAGGGCCAUGGGGAACCAGUUUGCCAUGAUCUUCUCGUCGCCACUGGCCGCCUCGAUACUCAGCUCGUAGAGCUACAGGAACUCGGCAGGGUCGGCGGUGCCGUCGUAGCGUGGAGGCAGGCCGGGCUUGAACUUCCCUUGCCAGACUACGCAGUGCAACUCCAGAGUGAACGCGCGGCACCCCUCUGUGGUCACAAGAGCCCGCCGGGGGAGGCGGAACCUGGUCUUGGCGUUCGCAACCGCCAUCGCAGGCAGCGCACGGUCUUGACGUGGCGCCAGGAGCGCGCGUGCAUCUUCUUGGGGCCGCUGGACCACCUGGCAGCUUGCUUCAUCGCGCACGGGCGCCUAACGCUGCAGAUCACGCCGAGGUUCCACCCGCCUUGGCUCGAUGAUGGCUUCUUGCCUUGGGGGUGGAGGAGGAGCCCCGUGAGCUACAUCUCCCGCAGCAGGCAGCGGUUGAGGCAGCGAGCGAGCCGGUGCAGCAGAGUCCCCAGCGGCGCUAACGUGCUGACCGAUGCGGUCGAGCCAGUCCUUGUAGAGGUCGUCGACCGAGUGGUAGCGCAGGAGCUCACGCGCCAUGAGAAGAGUGGCCUGCGUGUUCGCCGGGCCACCACGACCGUGAGAGGACGAAGCAGCUGGAGUCAAUGAUGGAGUUGCGGUGCGCCCGUCGUGGCACAUAGACGGGUGCAGUGAAGAGGCUUGUUGCUCGUGGCCUGCUGGGCCCGUGGCGGCGUUCACCAUCGGCGAUGGGGGUCGGCGAGGGCAACCGUCGCCCGCCGGUGCUGUCUGAGCGACGCGGGCGACAAGGGCGUCCCGGCACUCAGCACGAGCUCGGCGCAUGUCAGCCAUGGAAGUGGUGGAGCGGUGGCGAGUCGAUCGACGGAAGAGAAGCUCCGACGCACCCCUACCUGGCGCGCCAAAUGUCGUAUUACAGGUUCCGCAAACCCUUGAGAGGUUCGAACUUUGGGGUGUGUGCAAAGAUCUCACUCUCCCCAGUCUACCGACUCGCUAAUCUCACGGCCUAACGCGUCGAGCUUGAAGGAAAUGGGACAUAGCAAUUUAUCCAGGUUUGGGCCACCUUGCGGUGUAAAACCCUACUCCUGCUUUGUGGUGGAUUUGCCUCGAGGGGCUGAGGAAGAACUAGUACAGUGGAGAACAACCCUAGGAGAUGUGUUCUUGGGCUCAAGUGAGCUGGUGAGAUGGUGAGGGUGGAAAGGAUCUGAUCUCCCCCGCCCCCUGUGUAGGUGGCUAGGCCCUAUUUAUAGUGGCAUUGGUCCUCUUCCCGAAUGGAGGCAGGAAGGGAUCCCACAACGGCCAAAUUUGAAGGGAGACAACAAGUACAUAUUAUCCUGACUAAAGGGGUCUUCGCCUGCAAAAGCCUCUGGUCGUGACGCUGUGGUGGGAUCGGCAAUGACCUCCAUCCUGUCGUCCUGGAGGUCUUGGUCUUGUUGCAUAGGAAUGGAACCUUUGGCUGCUUCCUUGAUACGUCUCCAACAUAUCUAUAUUUUUUGAUUGUUCAAUGCUAUUAUAUUAUCUGUUUUGGAUGUUUAAUGCGCUUUAUUAUGCACUUUUAUAUUAUUUAUGGGACUAACCUAUUAACCGGAGGCCCAGUGCAAAUUGUUGUUUUUUGCCUAUUUCAGUGUUUCGCAGAAAAUUAAUAUCAAAAGGAGUCGAAACGGAAUGAAAUCUUCAGGAGAAUCGUUUUUGGAACAAACACAAUCCAGGAGACUUGGAGUGGACGUCAAGGAAGCAACGAGGCGGCCACGAGGUAGGAGGGUGCGCCCACGGGGGUAGGCGCGCCCCCCACCCUUGUGGGCACCUCGUGGCUCAACCGACCUACUUCUUUCGCCUAUAUAUACUCAUAUACCCCAAAAACAUCUAGGAGCACCAUAAAACCCUAUUUCCACUGCCGCAACCUUAUGUACCCGUGAGAUCCCAUCUUGGGGCCUCGAUCAUGGAGGGCUUCUACAUCAACACCAUAGCCCCUCUGUUGAAGUGUGAGUAGUUUACCUCAGACCUUCGGGUCCAUAGUUAUUAGCUAGAUGGCUUCUUCUCUCUCUUUGGAUCUCAAUACAAAGUUCUCCUCGAUCUUCUUGGAGAUCUAUUCGAUGUAAUACUUUUUGCGGUGUGUUUGUCUAGAUCCGAUGUAUUGUGGGUUUAGGAUCAAGAUUAUCUAUGAACAAUAUUUGAAUCUCCUCUGAAUUUUUAUGUAAGAUUUGUUAUAUUUGCAAGUCUCUUUGAAUUAUCAGUUUGGUUUGGCCUACUAGAUUGAUCUUUCUUGCGAUGGGAGAAGUGCUUAGCUCUGGGUUCAGUCUUGCGGUGUCCUUUCCCAGUGACAGCAGGGGCAGCAAGGCACGUAUUGUAUUGUUGCCAUCAAGGAUAAAAAGAUGGGGUUUAUAUCAUAUUGCUUGAGUUUAUCCCUCUACAUCAUGUCAUCUUGCCUAAUGUGUUACUCUAUUAGUAUGAACUUAAUACUCUAGAUGCAUGCUGGAUAGCGGUCGAUGCAUGGAGUAAUAGUAGUACAAGCAGAAUUGUUUUGAUCUACUUGUCGCGGACAUGAUGCCUAUAUACAUGAUCAUGCCUAGAUAUUCUCAUAACUAUGCACUUUUCUAUCAAUUGCUCGACAGUAAUUUGUUCACCCACCAUAAUACUUAUGCUAUCUCGAGAGAAGCCACUAGUGAAACCUAUGGUCCCCGGCUCUAUUUUCCAUCAUAUAAAUUUCCGAUCUAUUUUAUCUUGCAAUCUUUACUUUUCAAUCUAUAUCAUAAAAAUAACAAAAAUAUUUAUCUUAUUAUCUCUAUCAGAUCUCACUUUUGCAAGUGGUCGUGAAGGUAUUGACAACCCCUUUAUCGUGUUGGUCGCAAGGUUCUUAUUUGUUUGUACAGGUACGAGGGAUUUGAGUGUAGCCUCCUACUAGAUUGAUACCUUGGUUCCUAAAAACUGAGGGAAAUACUUAUGUUACUUUGCUGCAUCACCCUUUCCUCUUCAAGGGAAAACCAACGCAUGCUCAAGAGGUAGCAAGAAGGAUUUCUGGCGCCGUUGCCGGGGAGUCCACGCACAAGUCAAGACAUACCAAGUACCCAUCACAAACUCUUAUACCUCGCAUUACAUUAUUUGCCAUUUGCCUCUCGUUUUCCUCUCCCCCACUUCACCCUUGCUGUUUUAUUCGCCCUUCUUCUGUUUGUCUUUUCGUUUACUUUGAUGUCUUAGUUGGCUCGUUUGCUCAUUUGGUUGGAAUAGUUGUUUAUUUAUUGCUAAAUAGAGAACCUAAGAUCUAUGGAUCCUCAUCCGCUUGCCAAUCUUUUUAAGAGAUCCAAUUAUGAUGAACCAAAUUCUAGUGAUUUGAGUGCACUAGAUUAUCUUUAUGAGGUUUUGCUUGAAAUUCGUGAAUCUGAAAAUUGUGAUGAAGAAAUUUAUGAAGAGAUUCACGAUAGCUCCUUGAAUAAAAAGCAUGAUUGCAAUGAUUUUAUUUUAAAUUCUCUUGAUGUCAAUUGUGCUAAUAAUAUCCAAAACCUUAAGCUUGGGGAUGCUCGUUUUGCUAUGUCUACUACUUGUUCCAAUGAUCAUGAUUGGAGUGACUCUUCUUAUGAUCUUGAAAAUUUAUUUAACCCCCAUGAUGAAUAUGAGAUUGAUAAUAGUGUUUGCAAUAAUAUUGAAAGUGGGUUUGGAAGAGUGUCAACUUUAGAUCCCACAUAUUUGGAGAAUGUUCAAUCUUAUGGUAUUUUUGAUAAAAGUGGGUUUGGAGAGGUCAUGACUUUAGUUAAUGAUAAUCCCACUAUUUUGGAAGAGUGUCAACUUCACAUGCAUGUGGAUCGUGUUGAUAAUAUGUUAUGUGAUAGCUAUUUUGUUGAAUUUGCCUAUGAUCCUACAUGUAAUUAUUAUGAGAGAGGAAAAUAUGGUCGUAGAAAUUUUUAACUUACUAAAUUACCUCUGGUCAUGUUGAGAUUGCUAUCGUCUCUUUCAUCUUCCUUGCAUAUGCUAGUUUUUGCUUGCCUUGCAAAUUUGUUUGCUUAUAAAAUGCCUAUGCAUAGGAAUUAUGUUAGACUUAGAUGUGUUUGUCACGUGUUUUAUGAUACUCUCUUUGUGCAUCAAUUCUUAUCUUUCAUGUGAGCAUCAUUAAAAUUAUCAAUACCUAGCUAAAGGCUUUAAAGAAAAGCGCUUGUUCGGAGACAACCCAAUAUUUUUCGUUGCUGUUAUUCAACAAAUCUAGCCUCUGGUUCGAUGUGGUUUUAUGUUUUAGUUAGUGUUUGUGCCAAGUAAAACCUAUAGGAUCUUCUUGGGUGAUAGUUAAUUUGAUCUUGCGGAACAACAGAAACUUUUGCACGCACAAGAAUACUUUUCAUAAAUCACAGAAACGUGAUUUUCAGAUGAUUCUUUCUGCAGAAGAUUGAUAAACAAAUUAUAUAGGGCUUCCUAAUUUGGUAUUAUUUUUUGGGUUCCAGAAGUAUUCGAGUGUUACAGAUUUCUACAGACUAUUCUGUUUUUGACAGAUUCUGUUUUUCGUGUGUUGUUUGCUUAUUUUGAUGAAUCUAUGGCUAGUAUCGGGGGGUAUGAACCAUAGAGAAGUUGGAAUAUAGUAGGUUUAACACCAAUAUAAAUAAUUAAUGAGUUCAUUACAGUACCUUAACAUGGUGGUUUGUUUUCUUGCACUAAUGGAGCUCAUGAGAUUUUCUGUUGAGUUUUGUGUUGUGAAGUUUUCAAGUUUUGGGUAAAGAUUUGCUGGAUUUUGGAAUAAGGAGUGGCAAGAGCCUAAGCUUGGGGAUGCCCAAGGCACCCCAAGGUAAAAUUCAAGGACAACUAAAAGCCUAAGCUUGGGAUGCCCCGGAAGGCAUCCCCUCUUUCAUCUUCGUCCAUCGGUAACUUUACUUGAGGCUAUAUUUUUAUUCACCACAUGAUAUGUGUUUUAAUUGGAGCAUCUUGUAUGAUUUGAGUCUUUGAUUUUUAGUUUAUCACAACCAUCCUUGAUGUACACACCUUUUGGAGAGACACACAUGAAUCGGAAUUUAUUAGAGUACUCUAUGUGCUUCACUUAUAUCUUUUGAGCUAGACAAUUUUGCUCGUGGUUUUAUUUUGUAUAAAUUAUUGAUCUCUGAUGCUUCACUUAUAUUAUUUUGAGAGUCUUUGAGAACAGCAUGGUUAUUUGCUCUGGUUAUAAAAUUAGUCCUAAUAUGAUGGGCAUCCAAGUUGGGUAAAAUAAAAACUUUCAUAUGGAGUAAUUAUGAAAUUGAGAAAUACUUGUGUUAAAGUUGGCAAGUCCCAUAGCAUGCACGUAUGGUGAACGUUGUGUGACAAAUUUGAAGCAUGGGGUGUUCUUUGAUUUCCUUCCUUAUGAGUGGAGGUCGGGAUUGUGCGAUGGUUAACUCCUACCAACCCUUCCCCUAGGAGCAUACGUAUUAGUACUUUGCUUCGAGGGCUAAUAAACUUUUACAAUAAGCAUAUGAUUUCUUUAUGACUAAUGUGAGUCCAUGGAUUAUACGCACUCUUACACUUCUGCAAUUUGCUAGCCUCUACGGUACCGUGCAUUGUCCUUUCUCACAUUGAGAGUUGGUGCAAACUUCGCCGGUGCAUCCAAACCCCGUGAUACGAUAUGCUCUAUCACACAUAAACCUCCUUAUAUCUUCCUCAAAACAGCCACCAUACAUACCUAUUAUGGCAUUUCCAUAGCCAUUCCGAGAUAUAUUGCCAUGCAACUUUCCACUAUUCCGUUUAUUAUGACACUCUCCAUCAUUGUCAUAUUGCUUUGCAUGAUCAUGUAGUUGACAUCGUAAUUCUGGCAAAGCCACCUUUAUAAUUCUUUCAUACAUGUCGCUCUUGAUUCAUUGCAUAUCCCGGUACACCGCCAGAGGCAUUCACAUAGAGUCAUAUUUUGUCCUAAGUAUUGAGUUGUAAUUCUUGAGUUGUAAAUAAAUAGAAGUGUGAUGAUUUCCAUUAUUAGAGCAUUGUCCCAUGUGAGGAAAGGAUGAUGGAGACUAUGAUUCCCCCACAAGUCGGGAUGAGACUCAUGACGAAAUAAAAAAAAGGAGAGAAAAUAAAAAAAUUAAAAAAAGGCAAAGAAGCUCAAAUAAAAAAAUGAGAGAAAAAGAGAGAAGGGACAAUGCUACUAUCCUUUUUCCACACUUGUGCUUCAAAAUAGCACCAUGAUCUUCAUGAUAGAGAGUUUCUUAUUUUGUCACUUUCAUAUACUAGUGGGAAUUUUUCAUUAUAGAACUUGGCUUGUAUAUUCCAAUGAUGGGCUUCCUAAAAAUGCCCUAGGUCUUCGGGAGCAGGCAAGUUGGAUGCACAUCCACUUAGUUUAUUUUUGAUGAGCUUUCAUACAUUUAUAGCUCUAGUGCAUCCGUUGCAUUGCAAUCCCUACUCCUCGUAUUGACACCAUAGCCCAUUGAUUAGCCGCGUCAAUGUGAGACUUUCUCCUUUUUUUGUUUUCUCACAUAAUCCCUAUCAUCAUACUCUACUCCACCCAUAGUGUUAUGUCCAUGGCUCGCUCAUGUAUUGCGUGAGGGUUGAAAAGGCUGAAGCACGUCAAAAAGUAUGAACCAAUUGCUUGGCUGAAACCAGGGUUGUGCAUGAUGGGAGCAUUUUGUGUGACAAAAAUGAAGCAUGGCCAAACUAUAUGAUUUUGUAGGGAUAAACUUUCUUUGGCUAUGCUAUUUUCAUAAGACAUAAACUGCUUGGUUAGCAUGCUUGAAGUAUUACUAUUUUUAUGUCAAUAUUAAACUUUUAACUUGAAUCUUUUGGAUCUGAACAUUCAUGCCACAAUAAAGAGAAUUACAUUGAAAAUUAUGUUAGGUAGCAUUCCACAUCAAAAAUUCUAUUUUUAUCACUUACCUACUUGAGGACGAGCAGGAAUUAAGCUUGGGGAUGCUUGAUACGUCUCCAACGUAUCUAUAAUUUUUGAUUGUUCCAUGUUAUUAUAUUAUCUGUUUUGGAUGUUUAAUGGGAUUUAUGAUGCACUUUUACAUUAUUUUUGGGACUAACCUGUUAACCAGAGGCCCAGUGCAAAUUGUUGUUUUUUGCCUAUUUCAGUGUUUCACAGAAAAGGAAUAUCAAACGGAGUCCAAACGGAAUGAAACCUGCAGGAGAAUCGUUUUUGGAACAAAUGCAAUCCAGGAGACUUGGAGUGGACGUCAAGGAAGCAACGAGGUGGCCACGAGGUAUGAGGGCGCGGCCAGGGGGUAGGCAUGCCCCCCACCCUCAUGGGCCCCUCAUGGCUCCACCGACCUACUUCUUUCGCCUAUAUAUACUCAUAUACCCCGAAAACAUCCAGAAGCACCAUGAAACCCUAUUUCCACCGCCGCAACCUUCUAUACCCGUGAGAUCCCAUAUUGGGGCAUUUUCCGACGCUCCGUCGGAGGGGGAAUCAAUCACGGAGGGCUUCUACAUCAACACCAUAGCCUCUCCGAUGAAGUCUGAGUAGUUUACUUCGGACCUUCGGGUCCAUAGUUAUUAGCUAGAUGGCUUCUUCUCUCUCUUUGGAUCUCAAUACAAAGUUCUCCACACUCUUCUUGGAGAUCUAUUCGAUGUAAUACUUUUUGCGGUGUGUUUGUCGAGAUCCAAUGAAUUGUGGGUUUAUGAUCAAGAUUAUGUAUGAACAAUAUUUGAAUCUCCUCUGAAUUCUUUUAUGUAUGAUUUGUUAUCUUUGCAAGUCUCUUUGAAUUAUCAGCUUGGUUUGGCCUACUAGAUUGAUCUUUCUUGCAAUGGGAGAAGUGCUUAGCUUUGGGUUCAAUCUUGCGGUGUCCUUUCCCAGUGACAGCAUGGGUAGCAAGGCACGUAUUGUAUUGUUGCCAUCGAGGAUAGAAAGAUGGGGUUUAUAUCAUAUUGCUUGAGUUUAUCGCUCUACAUCAUGUCAUCUUGCCUAAUGCGUUACUCUGUUCUUUUGAACUUAAUACUCUAGAUGCAUGCUGGAUAGCGGUCGAUGCGUGGAGUAAUAGUAGUAGAUGCAGAAUCAAUUCGAUCUACUUGUCGCGGACGUGAUGCCUAUAUACAUGAUCAUACCUAGAUAUUCUCAUAACUAUGCACUUUUUAUCAAUUGCUCGACAGUAAUUUGUUCACCCACCAUAAUACUUAUGCUAUCUUGAGAGAAGUCGCUAGUGAAACAUAUGGCCCUCGGGUCUAUUUUCCAUCAUAUAAGUUUCCGAUAUAUUUUAUCUUGCAAUCUUUACAUUUCAAUCUAUUUCAGAAAAAUACCAAAAAUAUUUAUCUUAUUAUCUCUAUCAGAUCUCACUUUUGCAAGUUGCCGUGAAGGGAUUGACAACCCCUUUAUCACACUGGUUGCAAGGUUCAUAUUUGUUUGUGCCGGUACGAGGGAUUUGAGUGUAGCCUCCUACUGGAUUGAUACGUUGGUUCUCAAAAACUGAGGGAAAUACUUACGCUACUUUGCUGCAUCACCCUUUCCUCUUCAAGGAAAAACCAACGCAUGCUCAAGAGGUAGCAUUCCUCGGGACCCCGCACCCACUACUUGCCUCCUUUGCACCAAAGAGGAAACUAGUACACUGCGCCCGCUGGCGCCCGCCUAGCCUCGAUCGUCAGGGCUCACGUCACCCAAACCUCACGAGGUGAGCCUUGCACAGAAAUCUUUGCUCCUUGGGUGCCAGCCUGAGGAGGCUGAUCCCCUUAGAGGUCUUGGUGUCAUCCGCCUCACGAGGCUUGGCCCCUCGCGAGGGUCUCGAGUAGUUGAUGUCGAAAUUGGGCCAUACCAGGCCAUUGAUGGAGCCAUGCCGCAGGCCGUAGGCAGGCAAGUCUGGGUACCCCUAUAUCUAGAAUGCCAACACAUCUGCAGUAACAAAACCACGAUAGUUGGCGCCCACUGUGGGGCGAGCGUACGGUGGUGUUGAGUUCCUGAAGGGGUCUAUUCAGGGAUCGAGAAACUUGCGAUGUACCGGAUAAAGAAGAGCCGGCGCAGAAGAACACAUUAUCAACAAAUAGUCAAAACAACAUAUACGAGAUUUAAGAUCAAGAGAGUUAGAGUUGCAAUUUUCAGCGUCUGCUACACGCGCCGUGGUAAUCCGCCGAGUCCGAGAAGAGAGUUUUUUUAUGAAGGGUCAGAGAUCCAUCGGUCUCAGGUUGCACCAAGAGGGACCACAAAUUUCCGUUGCAGUCGUUCUUUGCAAUCGGCUGAGUUGUGGCUAUGUUUUCAUAUCUCUUGAGUUGGAGGACGAUAAAAUUGCCAAAGAAGGUCUUGACCCUGGAAGGAAUACGAAAGAAAAAGAAUAAGCAGGUCAAACCCCGGAUAAGGGUCUGGUCAUGGAGACGGCCUCACCUCGCUCCGCGUCUGACUCACCCUCGACGGAGCUGAUCUCCAGCUGCCUGCCUCCAAGCCAUCACCAGCCUCCCUCUGUGCAAGACGCCGCGUCUUGGGCCGCUAGCCGCCACCGACUGUGCCGAUGUUCUCCGCUUCAGCAGCAGACCCGCCGGCGCCUCGGCUCGCCACUGCCACUUCCAUUGAAAGCUGCCCCCGUAGCCAUGAUUCAAGUUGAGCUGGUCGCACCAAGUGGGCAUCUCCCCAGCCCGCGUCCAUGACUUGAUCAGCCGUCGUCGCCUUGAUCUGCUUCAGCUGCCACGACCUACCGUGGGUGAGUUGGCUUAUCUACCGUGGUUGUCCUUGAGCCACCCGUCUGCUACUCUCUCUAUUUCCUCGCUCGGUCGAGCCGCCCCGGCUACACUGCAACCUGGGCUGCCGCUUCGACGACUUCGCCCCUGCCAUGGCCGGCAUCAAGCCGCCAUCACGGCGAGUCGUCAGCCCUUCUGCCCUGAGUGUAAGCCGCCUCCACCGGGGCUCAGCCGUCUCCACUACACUUCGCCUCUACAUGCGCUUUUAAUUCACCACUAUGGCCUCGCUCUUCCUUCAACCUGCAGUCAUCGCUGCACGUGGCGCCACCUCAAGCCACCUUCACGCGCGAGUCGCCAAGUGGCUUUAAGUCAUCACUCUCCGAAAAGUCGCCUCCGUGGCUGGCCCCGCCCUCCGCCUCUGCUGAGCGUGGCCACGACCUCGAGCCACCGCUUCCAGGGCCAGCUGCACCCUCCUCUUCUGUUGCACGUCCAAGCCGCUGCCGCGACCCACCGCAACAAGCCGCCGCAUGCCUCUGUCGCCCGCCAUUGAAUCGUCCUGGCCCCAAGCUACAUCCGCAUCAAGUUGCCCCUGUUGAGUUGGUCGUCCGCCAUGGCGGUCAUAGGUGCUUGUCACCACAAGCCGUCGCGGCCAUCCGUCGCUCCCGUCUCAGUCGCGUUCGUGCCCUCUCUAGGUCAGGCCGCCUCACCGAGCUGGCCCUGCCUCCGCUGUCAGCUCCGCUCCUCCUUUGUCUUCAAGACACCCCGGUUGCGGGCCUCACCUCCGCGUCUCGGGCCGCCAGCCGCCCCGCACUAAGCCGCCUCCUCGUCGUAGUUUCUAUAGCCGUGCCGUGAGCCACCAUUGUGGUCGUGGCUAGAGCCGCUCGGUCUCUUGAGUUUUCGGGCGUUCAAGCCGCCGCCCGCCCUGCAGCUCGGCCAUGCUGGGUCGCUGGCCUCGCUCGUGGCCGCUGUCAUCGCGCUCGUUUUCCAUCGCUAACACGAUACCACCACGAGCCACCAUUGUCGAAUUUGGCCCUGAGCCGCCCAGCCUCAGGCUGCCUCCGCUCCGCCUCUGCAUAAUGGCACGCCAACCUGCCACCAUUGAGCCGACCAUCUCCACAGUUGUGCUCCUGCUUCAGGCAGCCACCAUGAGUCAUUGCCUCACCUGGCCUUGCUCAACAUUUGCUGCGCCAUGGCGCCCCUCUUCAACUCGCAUACGUUGCCAAGUCGCCUCCUUUUGCCGCACGGUGAGCCGCCGUCCGCCCCCAAGACGCGGACCAUGCGCGCCCGCCUUACCUUUGAAGCAUAUUGUCAUUUUCCUUCGUCGUAGCCUCGCUUGAAAGACGCCGCCACCUGCAGUUGCUCCUGCCGAGCCAAAUCGCCUCUGCCUCAAUGCUUGCAGCCCCCGAGUCGCCCGUUUUGCCUCAAGCCGCUCCUUCCAAGGCCAAGCCUCUGAGCCGCCUCGCCAGCACUUCUGUUGCGGCCUCACCGCUGUCACUGGUUUGCGCCUCCAACCUACCGGCCCCUGUCAAGCCGCCGUUCCCAAAGCCUUGCCUCAACCACCACCAGAGUCUUGUCCUUCUUUAUCUCCCCCUGGAGGAUGUGAGCUCGAGCAGCAGCUGUAUGGAGUUCAGAGUCAGGGGGUCUUCAACAAAAAAGAGAUAUUAGAAAACUUUGACACAUCCAGCUUUCCAAUGCUAUUGUUCGACUACGAGAGGACGUGAAGCUAGUAUUCUGCAUCACAAACAAACCGAUAUUGCUACAGAGCUGGAAUUUAUAUACUUGCUUCUACAGAGUUGCACUUACUUGUCUAAAGUAGCACUUGAUGCUACCCAGAGGGCAUCACUUGGUCAAACUGAAACUGGUAAUAGUCUAGUGUCGGUACAACUAUUACAUACACCAGAGAUAUCCUACGGGUAUGGACUCCAGCAGAGAACAAAGGACCAAGGAGUUUGACUGGGUAAAAACAAAAAGUGGAUCCAUCUGCGUGUCGAAACUUAGUUUGCUCUGUCUACAAUCAUCCGACAAAAGUAUCAGGUGCUAUCCUCCCAUUUAUUUUAUCAAUACAUGUUUUCCCAAGAGAACAAUUAUACUGUCUUUGAUAUUUUUAUAUGCAGGACAGUUGUUCAUUGGGCACGGAGGACACGACAAAGUGAAAUCCAAAAAUCACAUGUCCAAUAUACAUUAGACACGGAGUUUGUUCCAGUGUCUGCACAUGCCAUAUUUCCUGACGAAUAGGUGUACAAGCCACCAUCACCGUGGUCCGGUCUGCUUCAGCAUAUUGAGAAAUCAAAAGGGUAGGUCAUGGAUGAACUAUCCCUGGAGAGGCUGGGUGAGCUGGCCACUAUUUGACCCAGUGAUUCAAAAACCAGCAAAAGAAAAAAGAGAAGAAAAUGGUCCUGGAAGAACUACAUGAGCCGGACCAAGAGAGAAUACCAAGAAAUGGGAGGACAUAUGAUACGCAUAGCAAAGAUCAUUAAACUCGCCAUCUUACCUCCAGCUUCAAACAAAUUCCAGUGUUCCGCUGUUCAAAUUCUCUAUGCCGGUUUAUAUCACGGUCAAAUAUGGAGAAUCUCAAGCCAACUUCUCUAGUCAUCUUAAGACUCGGGGGCUGCACAGACAUGACUCGGCAGAAUUGGCUGUUGUCAUAAAUUUAAGAACCCCAUUCAUCAAGGGGAAGACAACCCGGUACCGGAAGACUGCUGUCACAUAAGUGAAAAUUUCAAAGUUGUCAGAAAAUUUCUAGCUCAAAAAGUACUGAGAAAUCAGAAAGUUCCGGUUCAAAAGAAAAAUUCCAGAUUGUCAGUAAAAAUUUCCGGUUUAAAAUCUGGCUCAAGGGAAAUCUAUCUCUCACAAAGUUUUGAGCUCUCAAUAUCCGGUUCAAGAGGAAUUCAUCUCUCACAAGUUCGAGUUUAGAAAAAUUAUGGUUGCCAAAGAGAACUUGCUGCCAUGAUGUGCGGUUCAAACAUGGUAUCCUGCCUUAUUGGCUUAUCUUAUUAUGAUCAAUGUAAUAAAGCCAGCAUCCCCGAAACUCAGGGCGUUUGUCGUUUCAUCUCAUAUGUACUGAGCAUGAGCCUUUAUUAAUUGAUCAUAAGGGCACCAGGGGACUUCCAACUCAAUGAGUUUAGCUUACAAAACCCUUGUGACCCGGUCAAACGCCACAUUAGUGGUUAAACCUGCAUGUAUGCUUGAUACUACUCCGAACAAGAUGACCCGCCGUACUCUUGACAAGUCAAUCUUCAUGACCCUGAACUUGUCAAGGUUUAAAAAAUGGCUUAAGUCAUGUGAGAGACAACUUACUGAUAGCAAGGAUAAACCAAGCACUACAAAAAAAUACAUUUCUGUGAUGAUACAUGUUUGUCACAGUGGGUCACGUUUUCUGUCAUGCAUGUACAUCCAUGACGAUUUUAUGACAGAAUCAAGAUAUCCAUACAUGUGCUCUCGUAGACGUGUUCCAUGACAUUACCAAAAUUAUCAUCACGGAAGUGUCCACUUCCAUGAAAGUGCUUUCGUCAAGGGUGACUGACAUGUGGCAUCCACCGUAAUGGGUCGCCGUUAAGCUAUCGGGUUCCGGUUUGGAUCCGAUAACCCAUUAAUAACCCAUAUCACUGGGGAUUUUCCACAUGUAAAAUUCUCAAUGUCCAGAGGAACCACGCGUCAGCUCACCGUUAGGACAGAUGUCUUAUAUGUCUCCAACAUAUCUAUAAUUUUUGAUUGUUCCAUGCUAUUAUAUUACCCGUUUUGGAUGUUUAUGGGCUUUACUUUACACAUUUAUAUCAUUUUUGGGACUAACCUACUAACUGGAGGCCCAGCCCGUAUUGCUAUUUUUUUUGCUGAUUUCAGUGUUUCGGAGAAAAGGAAUAUCAAACAGAGUCCAAACGGAAUGAAACCUUUGGGAGCGAUCUUUUUGGAACAAACAUGAUCCAGAGGACUUGGAGUAGAAGUCAAGAAACAAAAGAGGCGGCCACGAGGGUGGAGGGCGCCCCCCUACUGGGCGCGCCCCCUGUCUCGUGGGCCCCUCGGGCGUCCACCGACCUACUUCUUCCUCCUAUAUAUACCCAUGUACGCCAAAAACAUCAGGGGAGCCAAUGAAAAACUAUUUCCAUCACUGUAACCUUCUGUAUCCACGAGAUCCAAUCUUGGAGCCUUCGCCGGCGCUCCGUCGGAGGGGGAAUCGACCAUGGAGGGCUUCUACAUCAACACCAUAGCCUCUCCGAUUAGUUGUGAGUAGUUUACCACAGACCUUCGGGUCCAUAGUUAUUAGCUAGAUGGCUUCUUCUCUCUCUUUGAAUCUCAAUACAAAGUUCUCCUUGAUCUUCUUGGAGAUUUAUUUGAUGUAACUCCUUUUGCGGUGUGUUUGUCGAGAUCCGAUGAAUUGUGGGUUUAUGAUCAAGUUUAUCUAUGAGAAAUAUUUGAAUCUACUCUGAAUUCUUUUAUGUGUGAUUAAGUUAUCUUUGCAAGUCUCUUCGAAUUACCAGUUUGGUUUGUCCUACUAGAUUGAUCUUUCUUGCAAUGGGAGAAGUGCUUAGGUUUGGGUUCAAUCUUGCGGUGUCCUUUCCCGGUGACAGCAGGGGCAGCAAGGCACGUAUUGUAUUGUUUCCAUCGAGGAUAAAAGGAUUGGGUUUAUAUCAUAUUGCAUGAGUUUAUCCCUCUACAUCAUGUCAUCUUUCUUAAUGCGUUACUCUGUUCUUUAUGAACUUAAUACUCUAGAUGCAUGCUGGAUAGCGGUCGAUGUGUGGAGUAAUAAUAGUAGAUGAAGGCAGGAGUCGGUCUACUUGUCACGGACGUGAUGCCUAUAUACAUGAUCAUGCCUAGAUAAUCUCAUAAUUAUUCGCUUUUCUAUCAAUUGCUCAAAAGUAAUUUGUUCACCCACCGUAAUACUUAUGCUAUCUUGAGAGAAGCCACUAGUGAAACCACUAUCUUUUAUCAUAUAAGCUUUCAAUCUACUUUUAUUUGCAUCUUUACUUUUCCAAUCUAUAUUAUAAAAUACCAAAAAUAUAUUUAUCUUAUCAUAUUAUCUCUAUCAGAUCUCACUUUUGCAGGUGGCCUAAAGGGAUUGACAACCCCUUUAUUGCGUUGGUUGCGAGUUCUUGUUUGUUUGUGUUUGUGUAGGUGCGUGGGAUUUUUGAGGAGCCUCCUACUGGAUUGAUACCUUGGUUCUCAAAAACUGAGGGAAAUACUUAUGCUACUAUUGCUGCAUCACCCUUUCCUCUUCAAGGAAAACCAACGCAAGCUCAAGACGUAGCAAGAAGGAUUUCUGGCGCCAUCGCCGGGGAGAUCUUCGCUCAAGUCAAGACAUACCAAGUACCCAUCGCAAACUCAUCUCCCUUGCAUUUACAUUAUUUGCUAUUUUCCUCUCGUUUUCCUCUCCCCCACUUCACCCUUGCCGUUUUAUUCGCCCUUCUUAUGUUCGUAUUUUCGUUUACCUUAAUGUCUUACUUGGCUCGUUUGCUCGUUUGGUUGGAAUAAUUGUGUUUUUGUUACUAAACAAAGAAGCUAAGAUCUAUGGGUCCUCAUCCGCUUGCUAAUCUUUUUAAGAGAUCCAAUUAUGAUGAACCAAUUGCAAGUGAGUUUUGUGCACUAGAUUAUCUUCAGGAAGUUUCGCUUGAAAUUCGUUAAUCUAAAAAUUGUGAUGAAGUACUUUAUGAAGCGAUUCAUGAUAGAUCUUUGAAUAAAAAGCAUGAUUGCAAUGAUUUUAUUAUAAAUUCUCUUGAUGUCAAUUGUGCUAAUAAUAUGCAAAACCCUAAGCUUGGGGAUGCUAGUUUUGCUAUGUCUACUAUUUGUUGCAAUGAUCAUGAUUGAGGUGAUUCUUCUUAUGAUCUUGAAAAUUUAUUUAAGCCCCAUGAUGAAUAUGAGAUUGAUAAUAGUGUUUGCAAUAAUAUUGAAAGUGGGUUUGGAAGAGUGUCAACUUUAGAUCCCACAUAUUUGGAGUAUUAUCAAUCUUAUGAUAUUGUUGAUAAAAGUGGGUUUGGAGAGGUCAUGACUUUAGUUAAUGUUAAUCCCACUAUCUUGGAAGAGUGUCAACUUUGCAUGCAUGUGGAUCAUGUUGAGAAUAUGUUAUAUGAUAGAUAUUUUGUUGAAUUUGCUUAGGAUCCUACAUGUAAUUAUUAUGAGAGAGGAAAAUAUGGUUGUAGAAAUUUUCAUGUUACUAAAUUACCUCUCUUCAUGUUGAGAUUGCUAACGUCUUCUUCCUUGCAUGUGCUAGUUUUUGCUUGCCUUGAUAAUUUGAUUGCUUAUAAAAAACCUAUGCAUAGGAAGUAUGUUAGACUUAAGUGUGUUCGUCAGAUGUUUUAUGAUGCUCUCUUUAUGCUUCAAUUCUUGUCUUUCAUGUGAGCAUCAUUGAAAUCUCAAUGCCUAGCUAAAAAGGCGUUAAAGAAAAGCGCUUGUUGGGAGACAACCCAAUAUUUUUCCUAGCUGUUAUUCAAUCAAUUUUGCUUCUACUUUCUGUUUAUAUGUCUUUUUAUGUUUUAUUUAGUGUUUGUGCCAAGUAUAACCUAUGGUGAUAGUUAAUUUGAUUCUGCUGAAAAACAGAAACUUUGUGCGCACAAAAAUAAUUUUAGUAAUUCACAGGAAUGUGCUUUUGCAUUUAUUAUUUUUCUGUAGAUGAAUAUACAAAUUUCCAAGGACUUCCUAUUUUUGUAGGAUUUUUAGGGUUCCAGAAGUAUUCGAGAGUUACAGAUUGCUACAUACUGUUAUGUUUUUGAUAGAUUCUGUUUUUCGUGUGUUGUUUGCUUAUUUUAAUGCAUCUAUGGCUAGUAUUAAGUGGUAUGAACCAUAGAGAACUUGGAAUACAGUAUGUUUAACACCAAUAUAAAUAAAGAAUGAGUUAAUUACAGUACCUUAUGUGGUGGUUUUGCUUUCUUUCACUAACGGAGCUUAUGAGAUUUCCUGUUGAGUUUUGUGUUGUGAAGUUUUCAUGUUUUGGGUAAAGAUUUGAUGGAUUAUGGAAUAAGGAGUGGCAAGAGCCUAAGCUUGGGGAUGCCCAUGGCACCCCAAGAUAUUCAAGAAUAUCCAAAAUCCUAAGCUUGGGGAUGCCCCGAAAGGCAUCCCCUCUUUCGUCUUCGUUUAUCGGUAACUUUACUUGGAGCUAUAUUUUUAUUCGCCACAUGAUAUGUGUUUUGCUUGGAGCGUGUUGUAUGAUAUUAGUCUUUGCUUUUUAGUUUACCACAAUCAUCCUUUCUGUACACACCUUUUGGGAAGAAUCCCACUUGAUUGAAAAUUAUUAGAAUACUCUAUGUGCUUCACUUAUAUCUUUUGAGCUUGAUAAUUUUUGCUCUAGUGCUUCACUUAUAUCUUUUAGAGCACAGCGGUGGCUUAAGUUUGAAGAAAUUUUUGAUCUCUCAUGCUUCACUUAUAUUAUUCUGAGAGUCUCUUAGAACAACAUGGUAUUUUCUAUGGUUAUAAAAGUGGUCCUAGAAUGAUGGGCAUCCAAGUUGGGUAUAAUAAAAACUAUCAUAGAAAGUGAAUUGGAUGCUAUGAUCAAUUUGAUGCUUGAUAAUUGUUGUGAGAUAUAAAGGUGGUGAUAUUAGAGUCAUGCUAGUUGGGUGAUUAUGAAUUUAAAGAAUACUUGUGUUGAAGUUUGUGAUUCCCGUAGCAUGCAUGUAUGGUGAACCACUUUAUGAUGAAGUUGGAGCAGAAUUUUAUUUAUUGAUUGUCUUCCUUAGGAGUGGCGGUCGGGGAUGAGCGAUGGUCUUUUCCUACCAAUCAAACCCCCUAGGAGCAUGCGCGCAGUAAUUUCUUUUUGAUGACUUGUAGAUUUUUGCAAUAAGUACAUGAGUUCUUUAUGACUAAUGUUGAGUCCAUGGAUUAUACGCACUCGCACCCUUCCACCAUUGCUAGCCUCUUUUGUGCCACACAACUUUCGCCCGUACCAUACACCCACCAUAUACCUUCCUCAAAACAGCCACCAUACCUACCUAUUAUGGCAUUUCCAUAGCCACUCCGAGAUAUAUUGCCAUGCAACUUUCCACCAUUCCGUUUAUAUGACACGCAUCAUCAUUGUCAUAUUGCUCUUUGCAUGAUCAUGUAGUUGACACCGUAUUUGUGGCAAGGCCACCUUCAUAAUUUUCAUACAUGUCACUCUUGAUUCAUUGCAUAUCCCGGUACACCGCCGGAGGCAUUCUUAUAGAGUCAUAUCUUGUUCUAAGUAUUGAGUUGUAAUCUUGACUUGUAAGUAAAUAAAAGUGUGAUGAUCUUCAUUUUUAGAGCAUUGUCCCAGUGAGGAAAGGAUGAUGGAGACUAUGGUUCCCCCACAAGUCGGGAUGAGACUUCGGACUUUAUAAAAAAAAGAGGCCAAAGAGCCUACCAAAUAAAAAAAAGAGGCCAAAUAAAAAAAGGAAGGCCAAACAAAAAAUGAGAGAAAAAGAGAGAAGGGACAAUGCUACUAUCCUUUUUACCACACUUGUGCUUCAAAGUAGCACCAUGAUCUUCAUGAUAGAGAGUCUCCUAUGUUGCCACUUUCAUAUACUAGUGGGAAUUUUCAUUAUAGAACUUGGCUUGUAUAUUCCAAUGAUGGGCUUCCUCAAAAUGCCCUAGGUCUUCGUGAGCAAGCGAGUUGGAUGCACACCCACUUAGUUUCUUUUAUUGAGCUUUCAUACAUUUAUAGCUCUGGUGCAUCCGUUGCAUGGCAAUCCAUACUCACUCACAUUGAUAUAUAUUAAUGGGCAUCUCCAUAGCCCGUUGAUAGGCCUAGUUGAUGUGAGACUAUCUUCUCCUUUUUGUCUUCUCCACAACCACCAUUCUAUUCCACUUAUAGUGUUAUGUCCAUGGCUCACGCUCAUGUAUUGCGUGAAAGUUGAAAAAGUUUGAGAUUACUAAAGUAUGAAACAAUUGCUUGGCUUGUCAUCGGGGGUGUGCAUGAUUAAAUACUUUGUGUGAUGAAGAUAGAGCAACAGCCAGACUUUAUGAUUUUGUAGGGAUAACUUUCUUUAGCCAUGUUAUUUUGAGAAGACAUGAUUGCUUGAUUAGUAUGCUUGAAGUAUUACUAUUUCUUAUGUCAAUAUGAACUUUUAUUUUGAAUCAUUUGGAUCUGAACAUUCAUGCCACAAUAAAGAAAAUUACAUUAAGAAUUAUGCUAGGUAGCAUUCCACAUCAAAAAUUCUGUUUUUAUCAUUUACCUACUCGAGGAGAAGCAGGAAUCAAGCAUGGGGAUGCUUGAUACGUCUCCAGCAUAUCUAUAAUUUUUUAUUGUUCCAUGCUAUUAUAUUACCCGUUUUGGAUGUUUAUGGGAUUUACUUUACACAUUUAUAUCAUUUUUGGGACUAACCUACAAACCGGAAGCCCAACCCGUAUUGCUGUUUUUUUUUUGCCUAUUUCAGUGUUUCGAAGAAAAGGAAUAUCAAAUGGAGUCCAAACGGAAUGAAACCUUCGGGAGCGAUCUUUUUGGAACAAACGUGAUCCAGAGGACUUGGAGUGGAAGUCAAUAAACGAAAGAGGCGGCCACGAGGGUGGAGGGCGUUCCCCCUGUCUCGUGCACCCCUCGGGCGUCCACUGACCUACUUCUUCCUCCUAUAUAUACCCAUGUACCCCGAAAACAUCAGGGGAGCCAACGAAAAACUAUUUGCACUGCCAUAACCUUCUGUAUCCGCGAGAUCCCAUCUUGGAGCCUUCACUGGCGCUUCGCCGAAGAGGGAAUCGACCACGGAGGGCUUCUACAUCAACACCAUAGCCUCUCCGAUGAGUUGUGAGUAGUUUACCACAGACCUUCGGGUCCAUAGUUAUUAGCUAGAUGACUUCUUCUCUCUCUUUGAUUCUCAAUACAAAGUUCUCCUUGAUCUUCUUGGAGAUCUAUUCGACGUAACUCUUUUUGCAGUGUGUUUGUCGAGAUCUGAUGAAUUGUGGGUUUAUAAUCAAGUUUAUCUAUGAGAAAUAUUUGAAUCUCCUCUGAAUUAUUUUAUGUGUGAUUAAGUUAUCUUUGCAAGUCUCUUCGAAUUAUUAGUUUGGUUUGGCCUACUAGAUUGAUCUUUCUUGCAAUGGGAGAAGUGCUUAGCUUUGGGUUCAAUCUUGCAGUGUCCUUUCCCAGUGACAGCAGGGGCAGCAAGGCACGUAUUGUAUUGUUGCCAUCGAGGAUAAAAAGAUGGGGUUUAUAUCAUAUUGCAUGAGUUUAUCCCUCUACAUCAUGUCAUAUUUCUUAAUGCGUUAGUCUGUUCUUUAUGAACUUAAUACUCUAGAUGCAUGCUGGAUAGCGGUCGAUGUGUGGAGUAAUAGUAGUAGAUGCAGGUAGGAGUCGGUCUACUUGUCACGGACGUGAUGCCUAUAUACAUGAUCAUGCCUAGAUAAUCUCAUAAUUAUUCGCUUUUCUAUCAAUUGCUCGACAGUAAUUUGUUCACCCACCGUAAUACUUAUGCUAUCUUGAGAGAAGCCACUAGUGAAACCUAUGGCCCCCGGGUCUAUUUUUUAUCAUAUAAGCUUUCAAUCUACUUUUAUUUGCAUCUUUACUUUUCCAAUCUAUAUUAUAAAAUACCAAAAAUAUAUUUAUCUUAUCAUAUUAUCUCUAUCAAAUCUCACUUUCGCAAGUGGCCGUGAAUGGAUUGACAACCCCUUUAUUACAUUGGUUACGAGUUCUUGUUUGUUUGGGUAGGCGCGUGGGACUUUUGAGGAGCCUCCUACUGGAUUGAUACCUUGGUUCUCAAAAACUGAGGGAAAUACUUACGCUAUUAUUGUUGCAUCACCCUUUCCUCUUCAAGGAAAACCAACGCAAGCUCAAGACGUAGCAAUGUCAUCCACUCAUUGGACCGAAGGCGCCUAUGAUACGUCGACAUGUGGCACGACCCAACAGAGGCCCAUUCCGGUGAAAAGGCCAGCCCGUUUGACUUGGUCAAAAGGUAGCGGGCCGGCCCACAGAAAGCCUGUUAACGGCUUGUUCGCAUGUAGCCCAUUUAUAGGCCGCUAAGUCAAGGCCCGUUACGGCCUAUCCGAAUCAGGCCCAGUAGCAUCAUCUGGGCCGGCCAAUAUGAUUCUAGCCCGUUGUAACUUCCUGCCCACGUAUGGCACAUGACGUCUUUCAGCCCAUAUGAUCCCUUUGUAACUCUUGGCCCAUUAACCGCCCGUGGUGAAACUAGCCCGUAAUGAAUAGUGUAUCGCUUUAUACCCAUUAAUGGCCCAUUAUUCCAUUUGGCUGUUUCUAGUCCAUGUUAACUUUUGGCCUUCUUAGGGAUCAUUUAUUCUUGGGCUCAUUUACAGAAUUCAGUUACUUAUGGCCCGUUACUGGCCUUUUCUGCUUGUGGGCCAAAUGCAGCCAAUGGUUACAGUUGGCCCAUUUGUGGCUCAUUAAUCUGUUGGGUCAUUUUCAUAGCGUCAUCUAAUAUGGCCGAUUAAUGACGGCCCGUUAUGGUCCACCCAGGUGCAACAGACCCAGGCCCGUUGACCUGAUUGUGUAGAGGCACGAGAUCAAGAUUGAAGCACCAGAACCAGAAACCAAGAGACUCGAAGAACCAGCUAAUGAAUCAAGAGGAACCGAGGGUAUGAACUAAAACUCAUCUUUUUGAGUGAGCCUGUCCCUUUACAUAUUCUUAUUUCAAGAGUUUAGCAUGAAUAAAUUCCAAGCUAAACUGGGGGCUAAUGUUGGGGAUAUUCCCCACGACCAAGGCCCGACUCAUAAGGAUAAGACGCCCUGAAGCUUAAGUCAUCUUCGGGCUUAAGUCACCCUGAUGUUAAGUCAUCUCUGGUCUUAAGCAGCCAUGUUAAGUCCUCUCUGGACUUGAGCAUCCAUGUAAGUCCUCUCUAGACUAAUGUAGCCAUCGUAACCAGCCAUAUUAACCCGCCAUGAUGAGUCUCGAAAGAUGAGACUCCUGAAGAUAAUCCCUGAAGAUAAGUCCUGAAUGUAAGCCACCUGGCUGUAAGGCGCUCGUCUGGACAUAAGAAGCCCGGGAUUCAGAAGCCCAUGCCAAGAAGCCCGCGAUGGGAAUUCAGAAAUAGGCUAAAUCCUUAUCCUACUAGGACUCUACAUGUAAACCCGCCCCUUCAACUUAUAUAUGGAGGGGCAGGGCACCCCAAGAGGGUCAGGUUCUUUACAGGUUAAGAUAGUCAGGGCUUAGUCAGGCAAGUCUUAGACAAGAUCAAUGUAGAUGCUCUCGAGAUAGAGGUAGCGAAACACCACCCUUGUAACCAAGAUCGUCAUCAUCAUCAAUAUCAAUGAAACGGGAUGUAGGCUUUUACCUCCACCGCGAGGGGCCGGACCUGGGUAAAAUCUCGCGUCUCUCGUCCUGCUCAACCCUGUUCAAGCUACCACUUAGAUGCGUUGGCCUCACGACUAAGUCCUUACACAAGGACAUCUACCAUGACAAAACCACGAUAGUGGCGCCCUGCCGCGACGCAACAGAAGCUGCACCUAGUGAAUGCUGACCCACCAUUCAGCUUCCAUAGCCAUGUUAGCUGGAGGAUGAGAAUCAAUUGUUGUGUUGAUAGCAGUUACGCCUUUCCUUUUAGGGCAGGGUAGUAUAGUAAUUUACUACUAGUAGUUAAAACCAAUAAGGAACCAAAUGUGAAUGUUUAUCUGGUCAAGCAAGUGAACUGUGUGUUGUUGUUACUGUUUAUAGGUAUAUGUGUUUGUCAGAAGCUUCAAACAAAUGGAACAAAAGAAAAUUUGCAAUAUGUUGAUGUGUACUCGUGAUUUAAUAUGAUGCGAUGCAACGUGUGUGGUCUAUUUCAGAUAUAUAUGUGGGGGAGUAUUCUCGUUUGCUCUCCUCUGAAGAAGUGGAUAUGACACAGGAGUGGAGUUUAGUCACGUAAGCGCUCUUUGCCGCGCCAAUGAAAUUUGAGCCACUGAAAUAGUUUUUACAUCCAGUGGAAUUUGAGCUAUUCAAAUAAGUGGUCACACGAGAUCCCGUGAGACUUGACGAUAGUGACCCAUCGUAAUGCUUGGGUAGUCAAUUCCCUUUCCCCUCCAUCGUGGCUCGCUGCUUGAGGGUCUGACUAGCCUUCAGUUGCGUUCCCUGGUUGGCCAACCAUGACGGAGAUUAUCAACGUUCAUAGUAUUACGGUUAUGUGCAUCGGGGGUCGGGGGUGAUCCUCUUUUUCUCAGAAUAAAUCCUCCUAUGCUUACCAUCAUUUGCCAAUUGCUUGCAAGAAUAUAAUAGCCAUGUCUUAAAAAUGUUAAUGUGUGUGUGCUGAUGAUAACACCCUAUGGUCAUGAUUUUUUUACAACUAGUGAAGAAGAUGGAACAGUCAAAGGAGAACGUCAAUGCCAAGAAGGGUGACACCCUGUUGUUGAGGCGCUGCAGCAGCUCCAUUUGGUGAACAGUGACUUGCCAUUCAACUUCCAUAGUCAUGCAGGCAGGAGGAGUACAUGAAGUCUGGUUGUUUUUUGUGUUUGAUGCAAGUGCAGCAAUACUCGUGGUGUUGAUAGUAGUUACCUUUUCUGUGGUGAUAUGUUAAUUUACUAGUGGUACCUAUAACCCACAAGAACACAAAUAUCAGUGUUUAU